UUUUUUUUUUUGGGUUGAUCAAGAAAUAAAAUUAAAAAUUGAAAUAAAAAAAUAAUCAAGAAACAUAUUUAAUAACGAAGAUUAUGACUAUGACAUAAUUCAUAAUUUAGACAUAGAGAUAUGACAUAUUUAGUUUUUAUUUAUCAACUUCACUUUUCAAAUAAUUAAGAUUACUUUGAUUAAUUUAUUUUAAAUUUUAUUCUUAGAUAUUAUUUUAAAUUUAAAAUAAAACUUUUUGAAUUGGAUGAUAUCUUUUUCGAUUUAAAUUAUAAAACAAUUAAAGAGCGCCAUAAUAAAAAAUAAUAAUAUGAUUGAAAGUUAAAAUCUUUUUGUUGGGACAAAUCAUUAAGUUUCAAUUUAAAUAAGUUAUAAAUAUAUUUAAAUUACACUGAUUAAAAUUUGAAGUGAAAUAUGAAUUUAUCUAUACAUUAUUAUUAAAAGGAGAGUAAAGUAUAAAAUACACAUAUUUCAUUUUUUAAGUAUAAGUAAAUAUAUAGUUUUUAAAUUUUAUGUAGAAAUCUUUUAUACUCAUUAAUUGUUGUUGUUUAAAUCAAUUUUAGUUGUUCAAUAAGUUUAGAGAAUUGAAAGUGAUUGCAUUUAUUAAUUUAUUUUGGAGGAAAAUUUAUUUAGGAAAGCAUGGUAAAAACUAAAAUAAGGUUAUAGAAGUCUUUUCACAAUUGUGGUCAAAUUUGGGUCAAAUAAUUGAGGUCAUUUAGCACUAUCCUAAAUUUAAAGUGGAUAUAAAAUUGAUUAAAUAAAAUAAUUAAUUUUUUAACGGCUAAUUUCCCGAUGAAAAAAAUAUUACAAAGUUACCAAAUUUUUUUCUGAAACCCGCAAGAAGUUACCGUUAUCUAUAAAAGAGCGUUUUCACUGGCCCGUUCUUGUUCAUUGUUCUUCUACCAAAAAAAAUACUCUUUGAUUGUUCUUCUCUUGUUUCUGUGGUCCGUUCGUGUUGUUAAUUGUUGUUGUUGGAUUGUUAAAAUGGACAUAGAAACAGUAUUUCUGUCUUGUUUCAAAAUUCAAGAAAAUCCUUCUGAUCUUUUCUCUUUGAUCGAAGCUGCACUUCAGGUGGGUGUGUCCAAGUAUCCUGCAUCCUUUCAAAAGCGCAAAACUAGGAUAAUCAACUUCUUAAUGGAUCCGUCAACACUGGAUGACGAUAGUGUUGUUGGUGAUAAAGAUGAAGUAAUUGGAGACAGUGUUGGUGAUGAUGAACACAAUGGUGAAGAGUCUGACAAACAAAAUCAGAGCAGUAGCGUAGGGUUCAAGAAAACAUCCGAGACUGACUUGGUGGUUACACAAUUGAAUGGUGCUGAAGAUAAACAAGUAACACCGCAGUCCCAUACUACUACAAGAAAGAGGAUGUCGUUGAAUGUGUCCACCAAACGUGUGCAAGUUGCUCCUCUUAUGGCAAAAGAAACAGAGAGCGUCAGUGAUAUGAAGAAAUUUGAAUCAAGCAAGAGGAAAUAUGAGGAAAGGUUAGCGGAGCAAAGUGAAUCCAAGAGAAGGAUUGUGAUGGUGGACUUCCAUCAUAUGCCUAAACCUGCUAAAGACCCUCGUGCUCCCAAACGCUGCUGGGAUACGAGAAGGUUUUGAUAAUCUGAUGAUUCAAUCUGCUAUAAAUUUCACACAAGAAUUUGUAUUCUUUCUUUUUUGUCUUAUAAAUUGUGGACGGUAGUAGUAUCAUUCACAUGACUGAUAUGUUGUUUUUUAUGUAUAUGUGAAUUGUCUCAAUCACAGAAAUAACAUAGUUGCAAUUUCCUAAAUGGGUGUUGUAUUCAUGAAUUUGUGCGAGGAAUUUUAAUUGAAAUGCUUGAUUGAAACCCCUAUAGACUUGCACCGCGUGAUCCUGGGGUGCUGAGGCAUUUGAUAGAAAUCAUGUUCAACGUUGUCAUCUAUGAUUUGAUAUGAUACACAAAGUAGGUGAAAUUGUAGAUGACAAAUCUAACUAGGAUCUCCAGUACCACCACUUGAAAGUUGAAGGAGUUCGUUGGCCUAACCUUAGCCAUCAGUCAAUUUUUUGAUGAAGAGGAUUUUGGAUUUCAUUAGAACAAGAGUUGUUGCCCUUGCACCCAUUUGCUGUUAUAAGAUACCAACUAAUUAGACUCCUAGAGGCGAUAAAAUUUGGCAGGUAGUUACUAAUUAGAGUAUUACAGUUUAGAAAGCCCCGUUACUUUCUGUUUCUUUGUUGCUUAAAUAGGUGAUUGGUUUUCUUGAAUUUCUCUCGAGAAAAGAGGAAUCAGUUUGUUGGCUCUUCUGAUGUUUUAAGUUGUCACGAUCCGAUUUCUCAAGUCAUGAUGGUGCCUACUUUAAUCUACCAGUAGACAAGCCAAGCCCUAGUCUGGAAUGAUAGGUAAUAGGCUAACAGACAGAGACCAAAUAAAAGAUCACGUAUAACGAUAACAACAACAAUAAUAAGUGAAAAUUAAGAAGGGAGCAUAUAUAUUAUAUCAAAACGAGAGGAGGAAAAAGAACCAACUAUACAAAUGAAUCCCUCCCAAGACCUGAUAAGGUCAGUACUAGAGCCAUUACUAAUAGGUACCCAGAGUACUAAACAAAAAUUUAAAAUGUACACAAUAUACACAAGCAGUCUCGAGUGCAAAAGACUAACUAGAGUAGAUAGAGGAGGAUCAGCCUCGGACGACAGCAAGCUCACCCUGCUCUGAAUCAGUACUGGAAGGUAGGAGUCACGUCAACGUCGACUGCUAGUACCCAGAUCUGCAUCAGAAAAAAUAUGCAGAAGUGUAGUAUGAGUACCAAAGCAACGGGUAUCAUCGGCCGACUGAGCUCAAUACAGAAAAGGUAUAACUACAAUACAAGGAUGUAAUCCAAGUAACAGUAAAAAGGGACCAAAAGGGUAAACAACUGUCAAGCUACGCCAAUGAGAUAAAGGAAUAAACGUAAGCGAUACAAAAAAAUAAAUAAUGCAGUAAUAACAGACAAAUCAAAAAUAACUUAACUGGGCCCCCAUAAGCCUGCUAGGCACACUGAAGAAGACAAUUAACCCAAUCGUACCCCCACAAGCCGGUGGAACACACAAGUAAUGAAAAUAAACAUAAAUAAUCUAUAACUGCGCUGAUCCCAAUAAAUCAUGAUAGUCAUCUAGAUGUGCACCAUACUUGAACCGGUAUCAAUGGAUCGUAACGAGAGGCCAGGCAUAUAUAGAACUCAUAAUCAGAUGCCGGAUUCGAACCGAAACUUAGAGGAACCACAACCAUAUUCAGAUCUCGGACUCGAACCGAAACUCAUAGUAACAUUAAUAAUCAAAUGCUGGACUCGAACCGGAACUCAUACUAACAUUAAUAAUCAAAUGCCGGACUCGAACCGGAACUCAUAGUAACAUUAAUAAUCAAAUGCCGGACUCGAACCGGAACUCAUAGUAACAUUAAUAAUCAAAUGCCGGACUCGAACCGGAACUCACAGUAACCAUACCCAACGGUAAUAUUAAAAUUCAUACCAUGUCAUAACAAUGUCAACGUCUAAAUAAUCAUCCAUCAAUUUUAAUUAAAAAGGGAUAAAUUCAAGAUUUUGCAUUUUAGUUUCACGUCCUAAAGUAAUAGAUGCUAUAUUAUAUUAAAGAUAAUAUUCCAAUAUUUAUCAGAACGGGGUUUUAAUCCGAAUAAAUAAGACAAUUUAUAUAAGUCAAAUAAUACGCAUCUACAAGCACCUAUCCAAAGCUAGCAUAAUAGUUUACAGUUUCGGUAAAUAAGCUCAAUCUAAAGGUAGGGUAAGCCUAGCCUACCUGGACGCCAAAGCUAUAAUAUCUUUCCGUGAAACCUCCAAAUAAUAUCCCGCUAGAACCCAAAUUUAAAUAACAUUAAAGAAAUUAUUUUUCACAACGCCUCUUAACUUAUAUGCAACCUUGUAAAGCUAACCAAGAACUCUAACCAAUUUUCCUAAAAAAAGGAAAUCAAACCGAGAAGGACCAAAUACAUGGGAAAAUACAGAUAUGGACGUGUAUAUGUAUACUCACAGUGAUGAAAGUUCACUCUUCCUUUUGUUUUCCACUUUAAAAGGUCAAAUGUACGUAUAUAAGUAAAAUUUAGGCCUAUGGUUUGAAGACAAGUGGCAGCGGUCCACCCUUCCCAUUUAAUAAGCAAAAAUAUAUAUAUAUAUAUAUAUAAAAUCCUAUUUCGUAUAUAUUUGGAUAUUGUAUAAAUCCGUGGUAAAAUAAUUAUAAUAAAUUAAAAUAAUCCACGAUACAUUUAGAUAGUACUAAAAUUAUAUGAAAAUACAGGAAAAUGACCGUAAGGGAUCAUUACAUAAGUAAUCAUGUGGUUCAACUAGCCAAGAUAAAAUGACAAGAUCGAGUACAGCAUACAAAUUUGUUGACUUUGAUGAAUGAUAUUUGACAUUAUGCCAAAAGAAGUAGCAAUAGAAUAAUUGCAGCGAUACACUUCCUUGUUAGGGCCAUGCUUGCUGAGUAUAUUGCACUUGUAUUCUUAUUACUAACAUCACGCCACAUCUUUUCUUGACAUAUACAACAAUAGUGGUCCAGAGUCCAUAUCCUUAACUCUCUGACCGGAUGAUCCUAGUUAAGUUCAUUCUGGGUAGUGUGACUUCACUAAAAGUACUAAAAAAAUUUCAACCAAAAGGUCUAAGAUGUAGUUCUGCGAACCCUGCAACUUUUGCCUAACAGAUGUUAAACCUACAUAUUAGUUGGCAUGUCUAGUACUAAUAUCAUUUGCUUUUGCUCUUUCUUGUGGAGUCUUAAUACUUAAUUCUCUUGAUUUGUGGCCUAAUGUUGAAAUGAUCCACAGAUCAUUAUGUAUAAGCCGAGCAAAGUAACAUCAUAUAUGUUAAGAAGGUUUUGAUCAAAGGUUUGUUCUUCUCUGGUAUCUUUGCUGUCCUUCUAUUGGCUGCCUGUCUCUUGCUUAGCAAUUAUAGCACAUGUAAUGGCCAAACCUAUGGAAAUAUCUGUGCUACACGUGGAUUCAGAAUCUUGCUUAAGAGGGUCUCCUCCUGAUAAAUUGGAAGGCAUUUCCAAUUUCCAACAAAUUCCUGUAACUCUUGAGCUUGUAAUAUUUGCCAAACAGUAGCAUCUGGAUUCAACUAGGACUAGAAAAUUUAAUCUAAACUUCCCAAAUGGUUAUGCCUAUUAAGCAUCUCCUUGAGCUUGUAAUAUUUUCCAAACUGGAAACCAAUCUGCUCAUGGAGAUAUGAAAUUUUCUUUUAGUUCUUUAAGUUCUACUAAAUACUGGCAAAAUGCAUGUUACCAUAGGGAUACAUGCUAAAUCUUGAAGGGUUUCAACUCUCAACCCGACCUAUAAUUGCAACUACAUGAAUUUACUCCAGACCAUACAGGCCUUCCGAAUUGUAUAAUUUGGUGGCCGAAAGUCGUUGUAUAUGAUUAGAACAUGCUCAAAAGUUGUGGGCUUGUGGCUUUAAGACAUUAUUAUGAUGCGGAAGUAUGAUAAAGUAUACUUGACUAUACCAGAUUGCUAGAGAUUUAGCAUACUUCUUAGACUGAGUCUGAUAAUCAGAAAAAUUUAAGUUUAUGUUUAGAAACGAGGAUACUGCCUUUUCUCUCCAUUUUUCUUUUGAGGUGUUGAAUAAGCCAGUCUCUUGUUUUACGUCAGGUUGUUGUUCUGUAUUGCCUGUGAGAGUUUCAUUUUAGUUUCAAUGUUGGCUUGAAGUACUCAGCUUAUGCAUGCGUAGAUUGCAAAUGGUAUCAUCAGCGGUUAUUUCCUCAUUAUUAAAUACUUUAGCAACCCAAGAAGGUAAGUUUAUUGUUCUGAAUGUGUCAACAAAGUGAUGGAACCAGUCCAAUUAAUCUAUUGGAUAAGUAGUGUUACAGUCAUAUACUGUCUAGUGUCUACAGGUCUUCAAAAUUCCCCUGACCUGAACUUCUCUUUGUUGAUAUCAAUGUCUUUUGAAGCUGGUAUGCAGUUAAAAGAUUUGUAAACUGAGUGCUUUCUGUAUAUUUGUAACGACCUAAAAAUUUGAUGAAAUAUGUGAAAUUUGGGAUUUUGUGUGAUUUGACUGUUUUACCCCUCCCCGUAGUUGCAUUAUGGUAUUUUUGGGGUGUGGGAGUGGUUGACAUGAUUUUUGAUGCAUUUUGGUAGCAUUUAUGCAAUAUUGUGGUUUUUUAUGGCUUCGAGAGACUUAUUUUGGACUUAUGUGGUUAUAUUUUGAUCCGUGCAACGGAUGACCGAACGAACUGCGCCAACAGGUCCGUAAUAUCGAUUUUAGGCUAGGUAGACCUUUGGUUCGGGUCCUGGUUCACCCGAGCUCAUUUCGACCUUUUGAUUGGAAAGUUGGAAAAUUUGAAAUAUGGGUGUAGGACCCACAUUUGAUCGAAACAACCUCGGAUGGAAAAUCCGACUUCUCCAGUAGAUACAAAAUGUCGAUUUUAGUGUGUUAGCAUGUUUGUUAUGAUUUUACAGCUUUUAAAUCUCACUUCGACCCUUGGUUUGGAAAAUUGUGAUUUCGGGUUUUGGGGAUCAGUUUUGUGAAAAUGACUUUUUCUGGAAAAUCUGGUAUCGCCAUCGCAUCCGGAACGUCGAAUUUAGUAUGGUUGAAUAUUUCGUUUGCAUAAAUCGGACUCCAAACGAAUUCCGAGCACCCCAUCGAAGUCCAUUUCGAGUUAGAAUAAAAACUGCUCAGUUAUGCAGAAAAAUCUGCAAUAUAUAUAAUAGCUUUUUCACAUUUUUGGCCCAUUUUGCUCAUUUUUCAUCUUGUCUCUUGAGAGUUAAACCCUAAAUAUUUUGGGAAGUGAAGUUUAUGGGAGCUUAGGAAGCUAGAUUAACACCUAUUUCUUGAUUAUAUUACAGAUUUAAGGUAAGAAUUCACCCUUUUAAGAUAAUUUCUUCCUUAAUUUCUCGAACCCCCAAAAAAUCUUAGAGCAUGAUUUUCCCAAAUUUUAUCCUUUUCACUUGUAUAAUAUUUUUAUUUUAUAAUUACUAGUUUUUCAUCAAUUUAACCUUCAAAACAACUCUGAUUCUUGAUUUUAACCCGAAUUUCAAGGAUUUUACCCGAUAAAGCUCAAAAAUGAUUUUUCUUCUAUUUGAACACCGUUUUUCACUCGAUUUAACUUGGGUUUUAAGUUGUAGGUUCCUAAAAGUAUGGGGAAUAUAAUUUUGAAGUAAAGUUUCAAUUUUUUCCUUCUUUCUCGAAAAACUAUUUUGGAGGUCCGUUUUUACCCCGAACCAAAAGUAAAGUAGUCAAUAUGGGUGUCGUUGAUUUUGUUUUGAUGCAUAGAUUUCAUAUUUGAUGUUUUUAUUGUUUAAUGUGGUACCAUGGGUGUAUUGUGAUUAUAUUCAUACUUUACUGGCAUAUGAGACAUGUGGAAAUUCAUGGAUGAAAUGAAAAUAACGAGUGAAUAUUGGCUCAUGUGGUUGUGGAAAUGUAUCAUUUUGGUUGGUUAUGGAAAUACUUAUUGUGAUUGGUUGUGAGCAUUACAUCUUCAUAUCAUACUCUUUCAUGAAACAUUGGCACCACCGUGGCAACAUCUGAGAAACACUGGCAAUACCUUUUUUAAAAAUAUUGUAACACCUUAUAAAACCCUUUUCGAGGGAUGUGCCGGAAAGGAAAUAUGAGAUAUGUAGAUUGUCUAUGGGUUGACGAACCCCCCAUGGGUCCUACAUCGAGAAGCUUUGGCUCCAUAGGUGUAUACGGGGAUUGUGCGACGAUUCCGGAGGUUGUGAGACAACCUCGUGCAUCAUCAUCAUCAUCAUCAUCAUCAUCACCAUUAUCAUUAGCAUAUACAUUGCACUUACUUUAUUGUGUUUAUGUUGUGUUGUAUUGCCUUAUUGACUUGUCAUCUAUGUAUUUGUCUUACCUUUCUUUACUUAUAUUUGCUGAUCUUAUAUCUACAUGUUCUCUCUUACUCUAUUUUAUAUAUGACAUAAUCUAUACUUGUGUUCUAUAUCUUGACGUGUUUUUGCAAUAUAUGUGAGAUAUAUUAGAACUGUUAGUGCAAGCGGUGUGGGCUACCGUUGUGGGACAUUUUCUGAUUGCAGGUGACGUGCCCUUAGUGUAUAUUUUGUAUGCCUUAUUUACUACUUUGUUUAGUCGGUCUAUGAUACCUACUGAGUACAAGUGGACCGUACUCAUGCCUACUGCGCCCUUUCGAUGCAGGUCCUAGCUCGAGUGCGCCUCAGCUUACUUGAUUCGGGCGGUUGUUGGAGCUUCCAAGGUAGCGGUUGGACAUUCAUGCGUUCGAAGUUCACAUCUAUCUUUCUAUACUAGUUAUGUCUUUAUUAGUGCUCGGAGACAGUUAUUAUUCCUUUGUGGUUAUUUUUUUGAUGUAUUUGACUCUUGGAUUGUAUUAGUAGUUCUUACACUAUUGACACCUGGUUUUGGGCAUAAUUGGUAUUUUGGAUAAGUUCUUUCCGCAUUGUUAUGAGUAUUAUAUGGUUCGGCUUCAUUCUAGAAGCCUUACCUUGGGUAUAUCCACUAUUGACACAAGUGGAUAUGUAUUUACUAUCGGUGGAGGAGCAGUUUCUUGGAAAUCAUCCAAACAAACUUGUAUCGCUCGCUCUAUAAUGGAAUCUGAAUUUAUCGCAUUAGAUAAAGUCGAUGAAGAAGCAAAAUGGCUUUGAAAUUUCUUGAAAGAUAUUCCAUAUUGGCCCAAGCCAGUGGCACCAGUAUGUAUACACUGUGAUAGCCAAGCAGCAAUAGGUAGGGCAGAGAGCAUGAUGUAUAACGGUAAAUCUCGUCUUAUAAGACGAAGACAUAAUACCGUUAGAGAACUUCUCUCUACUGGAAUUAUCACUGUAGACUAUGUAAAGUGGAAAGAUAAUGUGUCGGAUCCACUUACAAAAGGCCUAUUUAGAGAAGGAGUGGAAAAAACAUCCAAGGGAAUGGGUUUAAGGCUUAGGACAAGUCAGCAUGGUGGUAACUUUACCUAGCAGACUGGAGAUCCCAAGAGCUAGGUUCAAGGAGAUCAAACAAAUUUGUGUCUGACAGGUUCAACAUUGUCAAUUACCCAAUUCAUUCUCAUGAUGUAGACAAUGUAUAGUAAACAAGGAUAAGACUUAAGGCGAAAAGUAUUUUAAAGAUUAUCUAAAUUUGGCAGAUUUGACCAAAUAGUUUAAUCUAUAGGAUUGAACGUUUAGAAAUCACCUAUGUGUGGGCGAAGUGGAAGCAGCUUCAAAGAAAAUGUUAGUAAUGGCCUAUUCUCUAAGCUCUCAUGAAAAUCGAGACGUGUUCAUGGCUGAAAAGAACAAAACCGUAAGAACCAUAAACAGUAAAAGGCUGGUUGUGUGAUAUGUGUUGUCUUGGUGUACAUUAAAGCUUGACGGUUCAAAGAUAUCAAAUCUACCGAUUGACCGAGUGCAUCCGAUGCAUGUUCACUACGAAAAGUUCAAGAGGAAACCCACUUAUCCAGAUGCAAUCAGUCUUUGCUUGAUGAUCACAUACUUGUCCGUAAAAGUUUUACGAAAAUAAUAGUCAUUCCCCAUUCAUGUGGGAGAUUGUUGGGUUCAUAGUAAUGAAAGGGUGUGAAUGGAAAUAUUAAAACAUGCAGGAAUGUGUGCACAGUGACUAUUUCGCGUCAAAAGUAGCACUGUUACGUGAACAGUAGCACUGUUUCAAGUGAAUAGUGCACUUCUUCAUGAACUGACGCGUGAAUAGUGACUGUUUCGAGUGAAUAGUAGCAUUGUUACGUGAACAGUAGCACUGUUACGUGAACAGUAUCACUGUUUUGCGUGAACAGUGCACUGCUUCAUGAACUGCUGCAACACUAUUUUGAACUGAUGCAAUGUUCCAUGAAAUGGUGUAUUGUUUCAGAAAAUUACUGCAAUGGUUUAAGUAAACAGACAUGUAUUUUCAGGAAAAGACACACACCUCUAAAUUGAACCAAUGCCACCUUUCAAAGGGGCAUCUUGUGGCUAUAAAUAACCUGCUUUCUUCCACAGGUUAAGAUAGAAAAAAUUUUCAGGAUUACAAGCUUACUCUUCUUCUUAAAAAUACUCUAAGUAUGAUCAUUCAAACCGUGAGUGUGUUUGAAGAAUCUGCCUAUUUGAGGUACCGCUAUAGUCGGAUUGAAGGCCAUUUUAUCCUGGGAGGAAAAUUCCCUAACCUCGGGUACAGUAAAGGGAAUUAUUCCUUAAGGAAAAUCCGUGAAUUCAGACGACUUGGCCUUAAACAUUUCUGUUUCAUCUUUAUUUUCUAAAAGAUAAAUACACCUCUUGGAAAGGUCCUUUUAAUCUUGUGUUGAGGGUAUUUAAAACUUCAUUGUGUUCUUGUUCAUACUUGAACAUGAGUUGAAGUUGUUGUUCUGUUAUACAGAUUCUACGUACCCGUAUUGUGGAAGAUAACAAUUUCCUCAUUAUUAAAUACUUUAGCAACCCAAUAAGGUAAGUUUAUUGUUCUGAAUGUGUCAACAAAGUGAUGGAACCGGUCAACUUAAUCUAUUGGAUAAGUAGUGUUACAGUCAUACUGUCUAGUGUCUACAGGUCUUCAAAAUUCCCCUGAACUGAACUUAUCUUUGUUGAUAUCAAUGUCUUUUGAAGCUGGUAUAUAGUUAAAAGAUUUGUAAACUGAGUGCUUUCUGUAUAUUUGUAACGACCUAAAAAUAUGAUAAAAUAUGUGAAAUUUGAGAUUUUGUGUGAUUUGACUAUUUUACCCCUCCCCAUAGUUGCAUUAUGAUAUUUUUGGGGUGUGAGAAUGGUUGACACGAUUUUUGAUGCAUUUUGGUAUCAUUUAUGCAAUAUUGUGGUUUUUGAUGGCUUCGAUAGCCUUAUUUUGGACUUAUGUGGUUAUAUUUUGAUCCGUGCAAUGGAUGACCGAACGGACUGCACCAGCAGCUCCUGAAUAUCUAUUUUAGGCUAGGUAGACCUUUGGUUCGGGUCCUGGUUCACCCGAGCUCAUUUCGACCUAUUGAUUGGAAAGUUGGAAAAUUUGAAAUAUGGGUGUAGGACCCACAUUUGAUCGAGACGACCUCGGAUGGAAAAUCCGACUUCUCCAGCUGAUCCAGAAUGUCUACUUUAGUGUGUUAGCAUAUAUGUUAUGAUUUUACAGCUUUUAAAUCUCAUUUCGACCCUCAAUUUGAAAAAUUAUAAUUUCGGGUUUCGGGGGUCAAUUUUGUGAAAAUAACUUUUUCUGGAAAAUCUGCUAUCGCCAUCGCAUCCGGAACAUCAAAUCUAUUAUGGUUGCAUAGUUCGUUUGUAUAAAUCGGACUCCGAACAAAUCUCGAGCACCCCAUCAAAGUCCAUUUCGAGUUAGAAUAAAAACUGCUCAGUUAUGCAGUAAAAUCUGCAAUAUAUAUAGCAGCUUUUUCACAUUUUUGGACCAUUUUGCUUAUUUUGCAUCUUGUCUUUUGAGAUUUAAACCCUAAAUAUGUUGGGAGCUUAAAGGAAGCUAGAUUGACACCUAUUUCUUGAUUAUAUUACGGAUUUAAGGUAAGAAUUCACUCUUUUCUUAGUAAUUUUUUUUUUAAUUUCUCAAAACCCCAAAAAAUCUUAGGGCAUGAUUUAAACCCAAAAUUUUACCCUUUUCACUUGUAUAAUAUUUUUAUCUCAUAAUUACUAUUUUUUCAUCAAUUUAACCUUCAAAACAACUCCGAUUCUUGAUUUUAACCCGGAUUUCAAGGAUUUUACCCGGUAAAGCUCAAAAAUAGUUUUUCUUCGAUUUGAACCCCAUUUUUCACUCGACUUAACUUGGGUUUUCAGAUGUAGGUUCCUAAAAAUAUGGAGAACAUAUUUUUGAAGUAAAUUUCCAAUUUGCCCUUAUUUUUGGAAACUUAUUUUAGAAGUCUGUUUUAACCCCGAACUAAAAGUAGUAAAUAUGGGUGUCGUUGGUUUUUUUUUACGCGUAGAUUUCAUAUUUGAUAUUUUUAGUAGAGUUUGGAAUUAUUUGUGAAAAGUAAGGUCGCGGGUUCAAGUGUAGCGGAUCGAUUUCGGCUUUCGAGGUAGGUUAUGGUUUAACUCUUCAGACUGGGCUGGGUAGUAAAUGAUGGUACAAAAUGCAUGUUAAGGGUGGGAACUAAUCAUGAAAAAUUUCUAUCUACGUGUUGUACCCGUGUGGGGGCCUAUAUGUGAUGUAAUUGUUGAAAUUGAAAUAUUAUGUAAUAUGUUUGACCGUGUGGGGUCCUAUGUGACAUUGAUAGACUUGAAUACAUGUGACUAAUUGUAUUGUAUUAUUUAAUGUGGUACCAUGGGUGUAUUGUGAUUAUAUUCAUACGUUACUGGCAUUUGAGACAUGUGAAAAUUCAUGGAUGAAAUGAAAAUAACGAGUGCAUAUUGGCUCAUGUGGUUGUGGAAAUGUAUCAUUGUGGUUGGUUGUGGAAAUACUUAAUGUGAUUGGUUGUGAGCAUUACAUCUUCAUAACAUACUCUUUCAUGAAACAUUGGUACCACCGUGGCAACAUCUGAAAAAUACUGGCAACACCUUUUUAAAAAUAUUGUAACACCUUAUAAAACCCUUUCCGAGGGAUGUACCGGAAAGGAGAUAUGAGAUAUGUGGAUUGUAUAUUGGUUGACGACCCCCCAUGGGUCUUACAUCGGGAAGCUUUGGCUCCGUAGGUGUAUACGUGGAUUGUGCGACGAUCCCGGAGAUUGUGCGACAACCUCGUGCAUCAUCAUCAUCAUCAUCAUCAUCAUCAUUAUUAUAUAUAUUGCACUUACUUUAUUGUGUUUAUGUUGUGUAGUAUUGCCUUGUUGACUUGUCAUCUAUGUAUUUAUCUUACCUUUCUUUACUUGUAUUUGAUGAUCUUGUAUCUAUAUGUUCUCUCUUGCUCUAUUUUAUAUGUGACAUAAUCUAUACUUGUGUUCUAUAUCUUGAUGUGUUUUUGCAAUAUAUGUGAUAUAUAUUAGAACUGUUAGUGCAAGCGGUGUGGGCUACCAUUGUGGGACAUUUUCUGAUUGCAGGUGACGUGCCCUUACUGUAUAUUUUAUAUGCCUUAUUUACUAAUUUGCUUAGUCGGUCUAUGAUACCUACUGAGUACAAAUGGAUUGUACUCAUCCCUACUGCCCUCUUUCGGUGCAGGUCCUAGCUCGAGUGCGCCUCAGCUUACUUGAUUCGGGCGAUUAUUGGAGCUUCCAAGGUAGCGGUUGGACAUUCAUGUGUCCGAAGUUCACCUCUAUCUUUCUAUACUAGUUAUGUCUUUAUUAGUGCUCGGAGAUAGUUAUUAUUCCUUUGUGUUUAUUUUUCCGAUGUAUUUGACUCUUGGAUUAUAUUAGUAGUUCUUACACUAUUGACACCUGGUUUUGGGCAUGAUUGGUGUUUUGGAUAAGUUCUUUCCGCAUUGUUAUGAGUAUUUAUAUUGUUCGGCUUUAUUCUAGAAGCCUUACCUUGGGUAUUUCUGUCUUUUUCUUUAUUUGUAUCAGUUUGGGUGAUAGGCUUACUUGUCAAGGUACGCCGUGACAAGUGCCAUCAUAACCCUUAUUUUUAGGUCAUGACAAUUGGUAUCAGAGUAGCCAGGUUUCAUUGGUCUUAACGGUGUAAGAACGGGAUGUCUAAUAGAGUCUCAUGAAUAGGUACGUAGACGUCUGUAUCUAUCUUCAAGAGUCUAUAGGAUCUCUUUAGGAAAAUUCUCUCAUUUUAUUCUUUAUCGUGCAAAAUUCUUUCAUACCCUGUAUUCUAAGUUGUGUUUCACUCUUUCUAUGCGAAUGGAGUUGCUUAUAACUCUUAUCAGUUGAGAGAUACAGCGAGAGAUUAUUGGAUAUCAUUUGUUGGUUGUAGGCUUGUUAAUGCUCCAAUUUGUCAUGGGAUUAGUUUGUUGAUGCCUUUUUGGAGAGAUUUAUACCUUUUAGUUUAAGAGAUCAUAUGUGGGAUGAGUUUGAUAAUUUGGAGUGGGGCUCCAUGAUAGUUUUUUAGUAGAAGGCAUGUUUCCAUACCCUAUCUUGAUAUUUCUAAGAUAGCAUUUCCACCGAGUUUGAGAAGAUUCAAAAGUUUGUGAAGGGUUGGGCUGUCUUCCUUCUAUUGGCUACAUUUUAUACAAUUGUGUUUGGGGAUUCUUUUUAUAGUAUUGUGGAUCAUGCUAAGAAAACAUAGGAUAUUCUUAGUGCAUCUCAGGGAGGCACCAAGAAGGCACGAUAUUUUGGUGAGUUCAGGAGUCAAACCUCUCGAGGCAAAAAUUUUAGAGGUUCUCAUGGAUACUAUAGUAGGAUAGUGCAGGCGGCAUUAUAGAGUUCAGGUGGUGGACCUUCUAGUCCAGCAGUUCAGGGUGGUCGUUCAGGCCUAGUUGUACCUUCUCCUAUUGAGGCUAGUCGCAGAGGUUGUUAUGUGUGUGAUGAUAUUAGCCAUGUGGCUAAGGAAUGUUCUUGUCGCGUGUUUAGAGAUAACCUUAUUUCAGCUGUGAGAGGUAGGUGUUCUACCAAAGGUAUUAGAGGUAGAGAUGGUAGAGCCUGUGUUGGUGGUUAUGGGGCCACUCAGCCAGAUGGUAGUCAUGGAUAGUGCUACGCUAUAUUAGUCAGAUUUGAGGCGGACGCUUUAGAUGUUGUGAUUGCAGAUACCGUUCCAUUUGUUUCAUACUUGCAUGUUAUUAUUUGAUCCUGGAUCGAAUUUCUUCUAUGUGUCUGUAUAUUUUUAUUCGGGUUUUGAUUCUGCUAGGGAGCCUCUUGCCAUGUCUAUUCAUGUAUCUACCUUGGUAGGUGAUUCCUUAGUGGUGGAUCGAGUAUACCGAUCUUGUGUUGUGACUUUUGCCGGACGUGAAACUUUGGUAGACUUGCUUGUGCUAGAUAUGGUCGAUUUUGAUGUUAUUUUGGAUAUGAAUUGUUUGGCUCCUUAUCACGUUGUCUUAGAUUGUUUUGCUAGGACUAUGACUUUAGCUUUAGUUGGUGUGACAAGGAUAGCUUAGAAAGGGUACACUUAAUUCGGGUCCUAAGAGGGUUAUAUCUUAUGUCCAGGCUCAUAAAUUGGUUAAGAAGGGAUGUUUAUCUUACUUGGCCCAUAUUCGUGACACAAGCAUUAUUUCACCUUCUUUCUUGGAUUCUGUCCGUAUUGCCAGUGAGUUUAUGGAGGUGUUCCCUACGGACAUUCCUAGUAUGCCUUCGAAUUGAGAUAUUGAUUUUAUUAUUGAUGUUCAGUCGGGCACCGAGCCCAUUUCUAUUUCUCCUUAUAGGAUGGCCCUAACAGAGUUGAAAGGAACUGAAUGAUCAGUUAUAGGAGUUGUUGGAUAAGGGAUUUAUUCUACCUAGUAUUUUACCUUGGGGUGCGUCUGUCUUCUAUGUAAAGAGAAAGGAUAGGUCUAUGCAGAUAUAUAUUGAUUAUCGAUAGUUAAACAAAGUGAUGGUUAAGAAUAAGUAUCCUCUUCCUCGCAUUGAUGAUUUGUUUGACCAGCUUCAGGGCUCUGUGGUGUUUUUGAGGAUUAGAGCUUUGGAUAUUUCAAAAAUUACUUUUCAGACUCGAUAUGGUCAUUAUAAGUUCUUGGUCAUGUCUUUUGGGUUGACCAAUUCCCCUGCCUUGUUCAUGGAGUUGAUGAAUAAGUAUUUCGACCGUAUAUUGGCUCCUUUAUUAUGGUAUUUAUAGAUGAUAUCUUGGUUUAUUCCAAGAGUGAGGUUGAGCAAGAGGAGCAUUUGUGGAUUAUGCUUUAGAGAUUAAGGGAUGAGAAGUUGUUUGCUAAGUUCUCUAAGUGUGAGUUUUGGUUAAUGUCUAUUUUCUUUUUUGGGUCAUGUGGUGACUAAGGAAGGUAUUAUGGUUGAUCCAGCUAAGGUUGUAGCGGUUCAUGAUUUGUUUACUUCAGCUUCUAUAUUAGCUUUGCCUAAGGAGGGCGUGGGCUUUAUUGUCUUUUAUGAUGCUUCAGGUGUUGGGUUAGGUGAUGUGUUGAUGCAGGAGGGCAAGGUUAUUAUUUAUGCAUCUCAUCAAUUGAAUCCUCAUGAGAGGAAUUAUCCUACCCAUGAUUUGGAGUUGUACACAGUUGUGUUUGCCUUAAAGUUUUGGAGGCACUGCUUUUAUGGAUUCCAUUAUGAGAUCUUCUCAGAUCAUCGUAGCCUUUUGUACUUCUUUAUCAGUGAGAUAUUCUUAGGAGGCAGCGUCGUUGGCUUGAGUUGCUUAAGGAUUAUGACUUGACUAUUAUCUACCAUUAGGGUAAGGCUAAUGUGAUUGUUGAUACCUUGAGCUAGAAGUCGGCUAGCAUGGGUAGCUUGGUGUAUCUUUGACUUAGGAGAGGUCAUUGGCCUUGGAGGUUCAGCCUUUAGCUAAUCUGAUGGUCAGGUUUGAUAUUUCAACACCAGGACAUGUUUUGGCACUUGUGGAUGCUAGACCCUCUUUGAUGGAACAGAUUCGAGCUCAUUAGUUUGACGAUGUUGGGUUGAGGUUGAUUCAAGAUAAGAUGUUGAGUGGAGAGUCUAAGGAAGCCUCACCUAAUUCAGAUAAAGUUUUGAGGAUUGAGGGCUGAGUUUGUAUACCGAGAGUGGUGAUCGAAUUAGGUUGAUCUUGGAAGAGGCCCAUUGUUCUAGAUAUUCCAUACAUCCAGGUGUGACUAAGAUGUAUCGUGAUUUAAGACAGCACUACUGGUGGGAUGGUAUGAGGUUAGAUAUAGCAGAUUUUGUGUCUCGUUGCCUGUGUUGUCAGCAGGUGUAGGCCGAGCAUAUGAGAUUUGGUGGUUUACUUCAGAGGUUACCCAUUCCUGAGUGGAAGUGAGAACGCAUCACUAUGGACUUUGUGACUGGUUUUCUGCGUACAUCUUAUGGUUCUGAUAGUGUUUGGGUUAUCAUGGAUCGAUCGACCAGGUCAGCUUAUUUUAUUUUGGUUCAGGUCUCAGUUAGUGGUAACAGGUUUGCCCGUAUCUACAUUCGUGAGAUUGUGCGUCUGCAAGGUGUGCCGGUGUCCAUUAUUUCAGAUUGAGGUCCUGUGUUCACAUCUCACUUUUGGAAGACUUUUCAGGAUGAGUUAGGUACUCGAGUGGAUCUUAGUUCCGCGUUUCACCCCAGACUGAUGGCCAAUCAGAAUGGACUAUCCAGGUUUUAGAAUAAGCUCCGUGCGUGCGUGAUGGAUUUUGGUGGCCAGUGGGAGCAGCAUUUGGCUUUAGCAUAGUUUGCACAUAGUAAUAGCUACCAUUCCUGCAUUGAUAUGGCUCCUUUUGAGGCAUUGUAUGGUAGGCGCUGCCGCUCUCCAGUAGGUUGGUUUGAUGUUUCAGAGGUAAGACCUCGAGGUACGGACUUACUUCGUGAUCUUUGGAUAGGGUCCGGGUCAUUCAGGAUAGACUUAGAGCGACCCAAAGUAGGCAGAAGUGUUAUGCUGAUCGUAGAUUUUGUGUCUUGAGUUUUGGUAUUAGUGAUCGUAUUUUCCUUUGAGUUUUACCCAUGAAGGGUGUGAUGAAGUUUGGGAAGAGGGGCAAGCUUAGCCCCAGGUAUAUUGAUCCGUUUGAGAUUUUUUGGACUAUUGGUGAUGUGGUUUAUGAGUUGGCUUUGCCCCUUGAUCUAUCUAUUGUUCAUCCAGUUUUCAUGUUUUAUGCUUCAUUGUUAUAUUCUUGACAAGUCUUAUGUCAUUCGUUGGGAUUCAGUUCAGUUAGAUGAGCGGUUGUUGUUUGUUGAGGAGCCAGUUUCCAUUUUAGCUAGGGAAGUUAGGCAGUUGCGCUCUAAAGUGAUCCUUGUGGUUCAGGUCCAGUGGCAACUUUGACCUAUAGAUAUGACUACUUGGGAGAUUAAGUCUGAUAUGCGUAGAUCCUAUCUCUAGCUUUUCAUUGAUUCAGGUAUUUCCUUGCCUUAGUUCGAGGACGAACUAGAUUUUUAGUGGUGGACGAUGCAACGACCUAAAAAUUUGAUGAAAUAUGUGAAAUUUGUGAUUUUGUAUGAUUUGACUGAUUUACCCCUCUCCGUAGUUACAUUAUGGUAUUUCUAGGUUGUGGGAGUGGUUGACAUGAUUUUUGAUGCAUUUUGGCAUCAUUUAUGCAAUAUUAUGGUUUUUGAUGGCUUCGAGAGCCUUAUUUUGGACUUAUAUGGUUAUAUUUUGAUCUGUACGACCAAUGACCGAACCUACGACCAAUAACCGAACGGCUUGCGCCAGCAACUCCGGAAUAUCGAUUUUAGGCUAGGUAGACCUUUGGUUCGGGUCCUGGUUCACCCGAGCUCAUUUCGACCUAUUGAUCGGAAAGUUGGAAAAUUUGAAAUAUGGGUGUAGGACCCACAUUAGAUUGAAAUGACCUUGGAUGGAAAAUCCGACUUCUCCAGCAGAUCUGGAAUGUCGAUUUUAGUGUGUUAGCAUGUUUGUUAUGAUUUUACAGCUUUUAAAUCUCAUUUCGACCCUCGGUUUUUAAAAUUGUGAUUUCGGGUUUCGAAGCUUGGUAUGAGGAUUGGAUGUUUGGGAGUGGAGGUUGGUACUGAGGUUGGGCAUUUGAGUGUAGAGCUAGGUAUUAGGGGUGGGCAUAGAACACGUGCUGAAGGUUGGGUGACGGCGGAGAAGAUAAAACAUUUCUAGAGUUGAACCUUUUUUUCGUUUUUGCAAUAUAAUUAGCAGAAAUCACACCUACAUCUUCCUUUUUCUUCUUCGAGAACAUGACAGUCCUAGACGAAGUCGGGGUUUUGGCAAUUUUCCCUGUCCGAAUACCUUCUUCCAAUGAUUCUCCUAUUUUUGCCAAAUCAUCAAAAGUUCCCCUAACAGCGGACACUUCCUGGAAUAAUAUUCUCCUUCUUGAGCGCGAGAGAACACGGAUACCAUUUCCUUCUCGGACAUGGGGGGUUGGACUUUGCGGCUUCUUUCCUCCAACGAAAAGCAUAGUCUCGAAAACUCUCAACAUUCCUCUAUUUGAUCCGAUCUAGUGAAUAUCGGUCUGGGACUAUUUCAAUGUUGAAUGCGAACCGGUCAAGGAAACCCUUGGCUAAUGCUUUCCAACCAGUCCACCUUUUCAGCUCCUGAGACAUGAACCACUCCAAGGCUUCAGCACUCAAACUUCGACUGAAUAGGCACAUCAAUAAAGCCUCAUUUUUCCCUAUCCCUACCAGUUGCUCACAAUACCUUCUUAGAUGGGCCAUUGGAUUUCUCGUACUGUCAAACAUCUUAAACUUAGAGACUUUGUACCCAUCUGGUAGGUCUACUCCCGGAUGAACACAUAAAUCGUCAUACCCCAAACCGUCGUGGUCCCUGGCUCCAUGAGACUAUUUGAUCCUCAUGAUCUCUUCAUUUAUAGCUAGCAUAUUCCUUUCAUGCUGGGUUCUCCACUCUUUCUCCUUCUCCUCAUAAUGGUCCAUCUCGGGGUUAGGAAGGGGUUCAUAAAUAUCAGGGGAUAUGAUGGCUUGAGGGGGAUUUGGAAGAAAAGCUUGAUUUUAUGGAAGAAAGGAACUUGGUUGGUAAGUGGGGAGGAUAUUUUAGAAAUUGGAAAGGUUCUGUGGACUUUGUGAGUUGUUUGGCGGAAUAUGAGAAGGAUUCUGAAAGUUUGGCGGAAUAUGAGAAGGAUUCUGCGGAUAUGGAAAUGAAUUUGGUGGAUUCAAAGGUAGGUUUGACGUAUUUUAUGGAUUUGGGAGUGAAUCUUGCGGAUUUAGGAAUGCGUUUUGUUGAUUUGAGAAUGUAUUUUGAGGAUUUGGAAAACAAACAUUGCCUGAAGAAAUGAGCACAUAAAACAAACGCACAUAAGCACAUAAAACAGUUAUAUCACACAACAACAUUAUAAUAACGCGUAUCCUAGCUGGGGUGACCCUUUUUGAGCCAAGGGUUCAGGCCUAACGAUUUUUGAAGAAAAUAUAUGCUUCCUCAAAGUCAAUCCAUUAACCCCCCCAACUUAUAUAGGCAUGAGAAAGGGCAUAAAUUCCUACAAAAUAUAACGAAAAAAGGGAUAAAAUCUUUAGAGAAAAAGGGAAAUAACAUCAAAGAAGAUAAGUUCCCGCGUAGGGGAAAUAGAAAAACUAGCUACUGGAGGCUCCUUCGUCUUCCUUUUCCUUCUUUGCCUUGUUUACCUCCUGUGCUAUUUGAUACCUAUUGAUGAUAAGAUGACUCCCGCAUAAUUUUGCCUUACAGUCGUAAGUCAUUUUCCCUAUACUAUCUAGUUGGGAGGCCAUGCUAUCAUCCAAAUCGAUUAGACAUUGCCUGGCAUCAUCAGCUUCUUGCCUAGCUCUUUUCAAUUCUUCCCUCAACAUACAUAUGGUUAAAGCGUCCUCCAUGUGUAUCUGUCGGAGCGCGAUUUCACUUUUCUGGAACUCAUUUUGUAGCCUGUGGAGAGGAAUUUGAUGCUCGGAUUCUACAUCCACAACCCGAGUGGGCAUAUUUGGUCCCAGAAUCAAUGCUCCGGCGAGACUCUUUUUCAACCACUCCUUGUAAGUAUCGCUGACUUCAGGGUCAUGCUCUAUACGGAAAGUCACUUUCGUCCACCUUCUUCUUCUCCAUCCAUUUACCAUGCCGUCUUUGAGCGGAGACUCAAUUUCAUCGUAUUCGGUGAAAAACCUAAGCAUGGAAUCUAUUUGUGGUGCCUCCUGCUUGAUCUCGAAUUGCCUAAGAACUCUACCAGGAUUGUAAGGACGGGUCCCCCUGAGACCGGGAAGCACUAGGAAAGGCCAUUUGCCCCCUCGAAUGGUGUAUUUCCUUAAAUGAAGAGAGUUAAUGGACCAUUGCACAUCAUCGUCUCUUAAUUCCCCGAAAGUCUUAAACCAAAAUUCGUGAGAUGCUUCCCUUUUGAACUUGUGUAGAAACAACCACAUGUCGUGCGAAGCCAGUAUAUCCACCCUUGUUUUAUGAUCAGGUUGUACCGUUCUCGAAUCCUUUACCAAAUGCUUCAUCAUCCACCAUUGUAAUAUGAGAUUGCAACCUUGAAAGAAAUAAUUUUUGACUUGACACCUUACUAAGGCUCGAUAUAUGUCGGCGACAAUCAUGGGAGCUAAAUUAUGGAAUACCUUGGUAGAAUCAUAAUCUACUCCAAAGAAAAGUGCACGAGCCACCGUAACAACCCUUGGAUGAAUUGUGCUAUUUUCCCCCUGUGGGAACACCAUGGUUCAGAGUAGACUUACCGCAAACGCAAAGGCUCUCAUCUCCUUCCAUUUUUCUUUGGACUCAAAUUUAUGUCCAAAUUUGUGGAAGGCAUUAAAUCUUCCAAAUCGACGAUACAACUCCCAAAAAGUGAUAUUUGCUCCAUCACAUUCCCCUAGCUAGGUGUCGUCAUCAGUUAAAAAUGCCUCUUUGAUUGUUUGACGGUCCCAUACGGCAGGAACUAAAAUGUUCUUAUCAGUUUUUUACUAUCUCUUGAAACACAUUUCAAUACUCUCAUAGCAAAUUAACACUUCUUCAAUGGUAGAAGUCAAUUCCACAUCCCCGAAGCGAAACACCAUAUUCUGAUCAUCCCAAAAAGUGGUAAGCACGUGGAUCAUUUCGGGCCAAACAUCCAUUUCGAUCAAUGAAGGCAGGUGUCCGAUGUGUGUUCUAACAAUUUUUCUCUCUUCUGCGCUCAUAUAGUCCCACCAUAGUUUCAGGUAAUCGUCGGGUUUAGUAACCAUCUUGAACUUCUCGCGGGAAUGCGAUUGAUCCAUAUCUACACGAAAGCAAACAAAGAUGAGCCUUCCCCCAUCCCCCAAAGGGUAAUGGAUUAAAUUAGACAAGCAUAUAUUUCUUCAACACAUAAAUAUGAUUCGUCUGUAAUUGACUCGAGGUCAAUAGACACAGGACAGGUUUUCUAAUGGGCCCAAUACCCCGCUCGGGUAUUGGGUCGUCCUAGGCUCAUGUCUGAAAUAGGGUUUUGGUUUCGCUCUAUCCUAGGUACCUAGAGUGGGUUUGAACACUGGUUCUCAAGCGGACAACUUGAGUUUGAAAAUAUAAACAGCCAUCAGACGACUCACGUGCUAAUAAACUAUUUGUAUUUCCAACAGAUUUUUGGAAUUGAUCAAUAAGGGUCGGGAUACCCACGAAACCCCAAAAUAGUUUAUAUAAUACAGGAAUAUGCCAUGAGUGCGAUAGUUAAACUUUACAGAAUUGAAAUAUAUAAACACAUAAACAUUUAAUCAAAAGACGAAAUCAAACAUUUGAUUAGAACCUAGUUUGAAAAAUCCCCAGUAGAGUCGCCAUUUCUGUUUUGCGAAGAAAUUUUGACUUUUGAAAGAGAGUCGCCACUUAAUUUUGAAAAGGAAUUAAGAAACCUUUAGAGAGUUACUUCAAACGAUCCAAAAUAGAAAAAUCAUUUAAGUUAAGAGAUUUUGAGUAAGCGGUUCUUAUUAACGUUUUAGGAAGGUGUUAGACACCUAAAAUGUCCGCUAACUUGCGGUUAUCCGGACUGUUUGAAAAUCGUCUUUGAUUAACUUCUAAAAGAUUAAUUUGUUGAAAAGUGAUUAGUUUUUAGAAAGGAUUUGUGUAAAACAAUUUUAGGCGACUUAAUAAGGAUUUUAACUAAGUCUACACAAAUGAAAUAAACAAGUAAACACAUAAACGGGGAAAGGGAGGAGAAAGUAAAUGAUUUAGGCCAUUGAGCCCAAACUAACAAAACCUGUCCUAAUCUAAUUGGGCCUUUGACUCGUUUCACCUGUUCUAAUCUAGUUUUCAAGCCCUUGGCUCGAGUCUCGCUCCACCUGCAUUAAGUACAACUUUGUCUUCGAGGCCGAAAUAAAUAAUUAAAGAAAUACAUAAAUAAAUACGGCAACCAUAAAUAAAUAACGAUGACAAAUGAAUAAAUAGAAAUGAGACUCGGGUCUCGUCAUCGCUUCAAGAAUGAGACUUUAAUCCGUUUUCCUUAUCUCAACUCCUUCUGUCCAUAUGCUAUGUGAUCGGCUUUCAAAGUCUUCUAGAAAGUGGGCCUCAAUGGCCUGUUGCGUAAUGCAAGAAAAAGGAGUCUGAUUGGACUCCCGAGUGAGUUCAUGCAAAGAAGAAAAAAAGUGAAGAAAUUAGUACCUAUUCAAGUGAUACAAAAGGCAAAACUUGUCUUCCUAACAUAACAUAAAUAUUAACUCAUGUGAUAAGAAAGAAAGUAAGAACUAAGCCAUCGGGUUCCUACUAAGGCAACAUUAGUGGUGAUUCAGCACCCAAAUUAUGGCAGAUAAGAAACAUGGCAAGAAGAAAUCGAUAAGAUGAGUAAAUGGUGCGAUGAAUAAUAAUAAAAAUAAUAAGAGGAACAAAAAUUAGAUCAUAGACAGAAGGAUACCGGGAAAGAAAACUGCAACUGAAGAAAUGAGUUUGAACAAUUUUUCAAUUAACAAAAGACAAAACUUCGACCACCAAAGAAAUGCAAAGAUUUAACAAAAUUAUAGAACUGCACCAAGGAAAAUUCCACCAAAGUUUUCUUAAAGGUAACUAAGGAACUAGAACACGUGUUACAAAUUGACACUUAUUGUCACCAUUACUAUUAUUAUUAUUUGAAACAAAAUUAUCAAGAGAAUUUGAGAACUUGCAUGUAAACUAGAAAGUCAUUGAUAGUACAAACUAAAAAAAAUCGUCCUUUACCCACACGAAGAUCAUGUAUACUGAGUCAAAGCUGAGUGAGAAGACAAAAUUUGCACAUAACAUAUGGGAAAUGUAAUCAAUAAAUCAAAUUGAAGGUCGUAGGGUCUCCCAAUAUUGGAAAAUAAAAGUAAUAUCAAUCAAGGUUUGAGCAAACUAGCAACAAAAUGGAAGGAGGACCACAUUGAUGUUCGACAGACAAUGGUAAGGGUCAACACAAACUUUCUAGUUUUGCCGUGCACAACUAAUUAUUUCAACAUUAAAAUCUCAUAGCCAAAUAGGAUUUUUACAGAAAAGUCACGCGAACACUUUAUUAGGGUGAUUUGGGUAAAAGAAACCAUUUUAUUUCUCUAUAUGAUUAAACGUGUCAAUCUAUAAUCUAUUGGUCAUUAAAAAUCCGACCUCACACCAUGCCUGGGUAUGCAAUCCAUUAAUACACUAUGAGCGUUGAAUCGGAGAAGUAGGCAAACUAUUUCCUAGCAUGUAAUCACUUAGAUAAACUUGGAGACAUUUAGACAAGGCACGAGCAAAAGUCCAAAUGGAAAACUUUCGUCAUACUAUGACAAAAUGGGCUGGCCAACUACAACAAAGCGCCAUAAAUCUGAAUGGUCAAAGCAUGAAACUUUAACAUAAAAUCAACCACAACAAGAUAUCAUCAACCCAAAAAAAAUAUUAAAUUAAAUCAAAGCAUGGAACUAUACCAGUUGAUUCAAAACAUCAUUAGCCCAAAACUGUUAAACAAUAUUCAAAGCAAGAAACUUUACUGCGAAACCAGCUUAUCAAGAUAUUAGCAGCCCGAAACGAAAUAAAAACAUGGUAAUUUAUUCAUGAUACUGGAAUUCAAGAUACAGGCAGUAGUUAACAAUAUCAAGAUUAAAUGACAAAAUUGAUGUCGAGGCAGAGAUAACAGAAAUCACCCAUCAAAUGACUCAAAACGAGCAUUAAUCCAACAUAACAAUAAUCCAACACUUGCUUCAUUCAAAGAAACCUAUAUCCUUUAAGGCCUCUAUAGCAAACAACCCAACCUCAUUCACCGAUAAACAAAUAACGACUUCUAAGAAGAAACAGGGUUUAAGAAUAAAACAAUAAAUUAAAAGAGGCGAGGGUAAGUUUACCUCCUUCGUGGCAGAAAAAUGGGACGACGAGCAAUCAGCAGAAAUGUUACCACUGGGAUUUGAGGUUAUCUACUCAGGAAUUUCUAAUUGAUCGACCAGCUUCCCAAAAAGGAAGAACGAAAGAGGAAUUUUUCACAGUUUAGACCCCGCUGUUCGAACCAAACUCUCAAAAAUUCUUCAAUUUUUUUGGGGAACCCUAGAAUUUCUAACCUUCAUUUUUUUCUCCCCAUAGAAAUUUCAAAGCCUAAAAUCUCUCAGAAACAAAAUUUGAAACUCCCAUAGUUUUUCUAAAUACAAAUUCUUUCUCCGUUUUUCUUCCCAAAAACCCUAAAAUUGCUAACCCUCCUAUCUCGAUCCCCCUUUUUCCUGCUUUUAGAAGAACUAUUCCCAAAUAACCCAGAAGGAAAAAAAGAGAGAAAACCCUAAAAAAAAUCCCCCCAAAAAUAGUGACCCAAGAGGUCUUUUAUAGAUGAGACAAUUGGUGGGCAUUUUGGGACUUAAACCGUAGGAUAUUUGGAAUUUAAAAUUCCCCAUUCCCCCUCCAGUUUGAGAUUUUAUCAAAAAACAUAUCCAUUUUUGGAUUAUCCUCCCCCGAAAUUGAAAUGGUGGACCAAUACCAUUUGAGCAAAAUGAAUUAUCUCCCCCAACCAAUAGAAAUUAACCAAAUACAUACUAGAUUAAUACAAUUAUCCCAAAAUUUGUAGAAUUGAAACGUUGAGAGGCCAUAUUUGCCCUGUUCUAGAAGAUUCGAGCAUCCUCUUCAUACAAAUUAGCUGGGGGCGCAUGUGACGCGUAACAGAGAAAAAAAUGGGUUAAUUUUGGUCACUGGGUUUGCGGGUAUGGGUCGGAUUGAUGGGUCCUUGUUGCUGUUGUCGAUCAAUAUUGUUGAGGCAUGUUGAAGGCUUGUUGUAUACAUAUUUUGUACGCGUUGUUGUUGUUUGCUGUUAUGUUAAAGAAAGAGCAAGAGAUGGGCUGGGUUGUUUUUGGUUGGAGUGGGCUUGGGGUCACUGAAUGUUGUUGGGCCGUGUAUUAAUUAUUGUUAUAGUUGGCUGGUGGUCGGCCCAAAAAUAAAAAGGGCUGCUGGUGGAUGGUUUGCUUUUGGGCCUGGGUAUUGGGUUUCAAUUUGGGUCAAAUGAGUAGAGGAUUUCGAGAAUUAGGAUUCUGAUUUUGGAUUACAAUUUAGGCAAUCAAAUUUAAAUUCUAGCCAAAUUGAAUACCAAUUGGUCCAUUGCAUUUACAAUUGGGGCCAAUUUGAUUUCAAUUAGAGUCAAAUUUGAUAAAUUGACAAAAUCAAAUCAAAAUUCAAUACGAAUUAACACCUUGUUUAAUCCUGAGCUUCUUGAUUUAAUAAAAUCAAACAUAUAUUUAUCCAAAUAAAUUAUUUUUGAGAUUAAAUCAAGACUUCAACCAUUUAUUUCAAGAUGAACCUUGAUUAAAUCCCGAUAUUUCAUAAAAUAAAUACUUAAGGAACAACAUUAUAUAAUCUUGUAUAACUGAACAUGAAAAUAUUUAAUUGCUACUUAAACUGACCAAUUUACCCAAAUAAAUACUUUGAAAAUCCUUUAUUUGGAUAAUCUUGCGCAUUAUUUGAUGUUGGAUACGAGGUGACUUACAGAUAUCCUUUGAAUUUCUAGCUUUUAGGUAAUUCUGUACAUUAUCCGACUUUAGAUAAGAGAUGGCUUACAGAUAUCCCUCCAAUCACUAGCUUUCAGGUGUUCCUGCACAUCAUCCAACCUUGGAUACAAUGUGACUUAUAGAUAAUUCCUCAAAUUGUUAGUCUUUGGGUAAUCCUGCACAUAAUCGAUCUUAGAUAUGACACUGAUUAUAGAGAACCCUUUGACGUACCAAUUUGAUAAUCUUGCAUAUUCUCUGGUAAGAAUUUAGUUGCGACUUAUGGAUAACCUUUGAACUAUCGACUUUUGGGUGAUCUUGCACACUAUCCGAUUAGGAUGUUGUCGUGGCUUACGGAUGACCUACAGGCUAUCAACUCAUAGGUGAUAUUGCACACUAUUCUGUUUUAAAUAAUAUGACUUAUAGAUGACCCUCAAAUUAUCAAAUUCCAGGAAACCUUAUAUAUCAUUCAUCCUUAGAUAAUAACUUAAAGGCGUUCCUUCAAAUCGUGUGCUCUCGAUGUAUUUAGAUAUUGAUUCAUGAAAAGAUGAUGAUAUCCUCGAUGCCAGCAUUGUGUCUAGCGUGUCAAUAGAUAUAUUAAAUGCUGAUGAUCUCCUCGACGCCAGCGUUGUGUCUAGCGCAUCAACAGAUAUUAAAUAAUGUUGAUAUCCUCGACGCCAGCGUUUCUAUCUAGCGCGUUCAUAGCUAUUGAAUGCCUUCUAGGAUGAUGGUAUGAGAUGGCCUUUGCGGUAAUGAUAUGCGAUUGACCUGGCAGCAAUGAUAUGUAAAGGCCUUUGCGGAAAUAAUAUGUAAUAGCCUUUGCGGCAAUGAUAUGCAAUGGCCCUUGCGGCAAUGAUAUAUAAUGGACUUCGCGGCAAUAAUAUAUAAUGGCCUUUGCGACAAUGAUAUGUAAUAGCCUUUGCGGCAAUGAUAUGUAAUGACCUUUGUGGCAAUGAUAUGCAAUGGACUUUGCAACAAUGAUAUGUAAUGGCCUUUUCGGCAAUGAUAAAAUAAUUUUACCUGGCUUCAUUCGUCAGUGUCCUACUUUCUACAUGUACCUGUACUCAAGGUAGACGAUUAGUAAACACAAAGUCGCUUUUACUAGCGACAAUUUUUAGGAAACUUCUAAAUAUGAUACGUGUAAAGAAGACAAAGUGCUUUUGUUUGUCGCCUACGAUCUCAAGAAAUGAGAUGGACAAAUCAAAAGGUCCUCAAUAAAUAGGCAUUAAACCUAUUUUUAGGGCUAUCCUAAAAUACCGUUCUUGGGUAUUAAUGCUUUAUUGUGGCUCCGACUUUGCUCGGAGAUUUUUGAAAGAGACCCUCAUUUUGUAUAAUGAACCCUACAUCCACUAAAAAUGAUUAGUUUGAAUAAAUUACUCCGUGUUGACCUUCUUCGAUCCUUGAUUUUCUCCUUGCCAUUUCUUGGGCAUUCCACCAUAUCGGGACUUCCACCUUGAUACUCCAUCCCAAAUGAUAUCUAGGCAAGUAUUAAAUAAGUUAGUCGUAAGAUUUUUGAAAAUAGUCUUAAAUUUUUGAAAAUAAUUUUGAAAACUUCUAUAAAACUUUAGAAAAUCUCUGCCAGCCAUGUCAUGUACUAGCUCAACGAACGUCUUCUUUGUGGUUUUGACUAUGUCCGAUGGAUGGUUUCCAAAACUCAUGAUCAUUGUUGGAGGACUUCUUCAAGUAGUUCUAUCAUAGCAAAAAAUUUAGUCUACCUAGACUUUGUUACAGUUGGUGGCUUCCAAAGCUUGACUUUAACCUCUGGUGCUGGGAAAUUUGGAAUAUGUUCCGGCAUUUGGUGAAAAUUUUGAGGUCUUCCUCAAAAUUUCUGCCCCAGUUUAAAGUUGUUUGAGAUGAUACCAAUCCGAGUGGAUCUGAAGUCUUUGCUGAUCGUCAUUCUCUUUAUUGGAUGUCGAUCUUCUUUUAUGAAUUUUUGAGAUUCCUUCUCGAAAAUUUUGCCCCAGUUUCCAUUUCCUGGGGUUAUAUGACCGAGCCAUUGGGGCACCUACGUAUCCCGUUGAAGCAGGAAUCAGGUCAAACGUAUCUCAGGACUACGCUAGGGAUAUACAAAAGAAAUUAAUGGGUUGACCGAAGCCGACAUAGGCCGCCUACGUAUACCUUUUAUUGGGAAUUCAGGUCAUCAUGUAGUUCAUACAUAAGAAGGAAAUGAUGAAUCGUCCUAAGGGGUUGAUCGAAGCCGACAUAGGUCGCCUACGUAUCCCAUUCUUGGGAAUUCAGGUCAAACGUAGUUCGUACAUAAAGGGAAAGGGACUCUAGGCAGUUGCGCACUAGAGAACAACAUUAUUACAAAAGAGAUUACAAGUAAAUUAAGGAAAAACAAAAAUUGGACCGUCUUUUAAACCUAGUAUCUCUUUACCGUAUCAGAAUUGAUUGGUUUGGUCCAUUCUUGGCCAUCCAUCUCAGACAAAAUCAGAGCUCUUCCAGAUAGUACCUUAUGAACUAGGUACGGCCCUUGCCAAUUUGGAGCGAACUUACCCUUGUACUCCUCUUGGUGAGGGAAUAUUCAUUUGAGAACCAGUUGCCCUACUUCAAACGUUUGAGCUCUCACCUUCUUGUUAAAGGAAUGAACCAUCCUGUGUUGAUACAGCUGGCCAUGACAAAUAGCAACCAUUCUCUUUUCAUCAAUCAACAUAAGUUGUUCAUAGCGAGUGUGUACCCAUUUUUCGUUACUCAAUCCAGCUUCCUGAAUAAUCCUUAGGGAGGGUAUUUCAACCUCAGCAGGUAUCACAGCUUCAUUCCCGUAAACCAGUAAAUAGGGAGUCACCCUGGUGGAGGUUUGAAAAAUUGUACGAUAUCCCAGCAAAGCAUAAGGUAACAUCUCAUGCCAUGAUCUAUCAUUUUCAACCAUCUUUCUCAAGAUCUUCUUGAUAUUCUUGUUGGCAGUUUCCACGGCUCAGUUCAUUUAGGGAUGAUAUGCAGUCGAGUUGCGAUGCACGAUUUUGAACUGAUCACAAAUUUCAUUCAUCAAGUGAUUGUUCAAGUUUGCCCCAUUAUUGGUAAUGAUUGAUUCUGGCACUCUAAAUCGGCAAAUCAAGUUACUCCUGAUGAAAUCUGCAACCACUUUCUUAGUGACGGCUCUGUAUAAAGCAGCUUCAACCCACUUAGUAAAGUAAUUGAUGGCAACCAAAAUAAACCUAUGCCCAUUCGAUGUUGAUGGCUUUAUUGGUCUGAUAACGUCCAUGCCCCAAGCUACGAAGGGCCAAGGUGAAUUCAUUGCAUGAAGCUCAUGUGGAGGCAUUCGAAUCAAAUCUCCGUGUAUUUGACAUUUUGGAUAUUUCUGCACAUACCUGCUACAAUCAUUCUCCAUAGUCAUCCAAAAGUAACCGGUCCUCAGGAUCUUUCUAUCAAGGGCAAAUCCAUUUAUGUGAGGCCCGCAAACUCCAGCGUGUACUUCUUUUAUCAAUUUAUUGGCUUCCGUAGCGUCGACACAUCUCAAGAAUCCUAAGUCUGGAGUCCUUCUAAAAAGGAUUUCCCCACUUGGAAAAUAGUUCUUCGCUAGCCGCCGAAUUGUCUUCUUUUGAUUGUUACUGGCCUCUUCGGGAUAUAUUCCAGAUUCUAAAUACCUCUUUAUAUCAUGGUACCAAGUCUUUCCAUCAGGCUCCUCUUCAACGUGUGUGCAGUGCGCGGGUUGCUCCUUCAAUCUUAUUUCCAAAGGAUCAAUGUAACUCUGAUCUGGGUGCUGAAUCAUGAAAGAUAUAGUGGCCAAAGUAUCAGCAAACUCAUUUUGUAUCCGUGGGAUAUGUCUAAAAUCAACUUCUUUAAAUCUUUCACAUAAUUCUUGGACCAGCUCUAUGUAAGGAGUAAUCUUGGAAUUUUUUACCGCCCAUUCUCCCCGUACCUGGUGAAUCAGCAAAUCUGAAUCCCCGAUGACUAACAAUUUGCGAACACCUAUAUCAAGUGCCAAUUUGAGACCCAAGAUGCAAGCCUCAUAUUCAGCCAUGUUAUUGGUGCAGGGGAAACACAGCUUUGCAGUUACCGAAUAAUAUUGGCCCGUUUCUGACACCAAAAUUGCUCUGAUUCCUGAACCUUUAAAGUUGACCGCCCCAUCAAAGAAUAGCCUCCAUCCAGGGUAAAUUUUUGUGAUAUCUUCCCCUACGAACAAAAUAUCCUCAUUUGGGAAGUAAGUUCGAAGUGGCUCGUAUUCCUCAUCAACCGGAUUUUUUGCAAAAUGAUUUGCUAAAGCUUGCCCCUUGAUUGUCUUUUGGGUUACGUACACAAUGUCAAACUCACUUAGCAACAUUUACCACUUGGCUAAAUUUCCUGUAGGCAUGGCCUUCUGAAAUAUAUACUUUAAUGGAUCCAUUCUCGAGAUGAGGUAUGUUGUGUAGGACGACAGAUAAUGCCUCAACUUUUGUGCUGCCCAAGUCAAAGCACAACAUGUCCUUUCUACAAGAGUGUAACGGGCUUCAUAUGGCGUGAACUUUUUACUCAAGUAGUAAAUAGCUUUCUCUUUCCUGUCGGUCUCAUCAUGUUGCCCAAGGACACAUACGAAAGCAUUUUCUGUGACUGACAGGUAAAGCAGCAAUGGAAUUCCUUCUCUUGGCAGUACUAAAAUCGGCGAUGCAGAUAAAUAUUCCUUGAUGCGGUCAAAAUCUCUCUGACAUUCUUCUGUCCACUCAUUCAAUGAUUUUUUCUUCAGCAUCUUGAGAAUUGGAUCGCAUAUGAUUGUCAACUGAGCGAUAAAUCGACUAAUGUAAUUCAAACAACCCAUGAAACUCAUAACUUCCUUCUUGGUUCUCGACGGUGGAAAGUCCUUAAUUGUCUUGAUUUUGGAUGGUUUUAACUCGAUGCCUCUUCUGCUGACUAUGAACCCCAGCAACUUCCCUGAUGGCACACCGAAAGCACACUUAGAAGGGUUUAACUUCAAACUGUACUUUCUUAAUCUAUUAAAGAAUUUUUCUAGAUGGGUCAGAUGAUCCAAACUCUUGCGGGAUUUGAUAAUUACGUCAUCCAUGUCUACCUCAAUCUCUUUAUGGAUCAUAUCAUGGAAAAUGGUCGUCAUAGCCCUCAUAUAUGUGGCACCCGCAUUCUUGAGACCAAACGGCAUUACCCUAUAAUGAUAGACACCCCCAAAGCAUAAUAAAAGACGUUUUUUCUAUAUCUUUAUCAUCCAUCAAUAUCUGAUGAUAGCCAGCAAAACAAUUAACAAAAGAACGCAUUUCAUGCCUUGCAUAAUUAUCAAUGAGGAUAUGAAUGUUAGGCAAUGAAAAAUUAUCUUUAGGACUGGCUCUAUUCAAGUCUCUGUAGUCAACACAAAUGCGAAUCUUGCCAUCCUUCUUUGGCAUGGGGACGAUGUUGUCUAACCACGUUGGAUACUUUGUGACCUCUACUACCUUGGACUGGAUUUGUUUCGUCACUUCUUCCUUGAUCUUUAGACUUAAGUCUGGCUUGAACUUCCAUAUUUUUUGCUUGACUGGAUCAAACUCAGAAUUUAUCGGCAACUUAUCUAACACAAUGUUGGUGCUCAACCCUGGCAUAUCAUCAUAGGACCAAGCAAACACGUCAAUAUAUUCCCACAAUAGGUGAAUGAGCUCUCUCUUUUGUGCUUCCGCUAGGUGGACACUGACCCUUGUUUCUUUGGUUUCAUCAUGAUCUCUGAGGUUGACUAUUUUAGUUUCCUCCAGGUUGGGUUUUUUUCGAUUCUCAAACUCCUCCAUAUCUUCAACUAAUUAUUUCUCAUCACCGUCCUUCCAAUCAUCAUCAUUCCCUUUAUUUUGUUUGUUUAAACUUUGACAUGACAUAACAUUGGCAGAUUUUAAGUUGCUGUUACUGUAAGGGACAAACAAACCAAGUUAGAUGAUGACAAAAUAGUAACAAAAUAUAUGACCAGGAGUAUUUUAGAAAUAAUAGAAUUUUCUAAAAAAAUGAAGGUCUUUUCAUUGAAAUUUGAGAGAUAAUUACAAACCAUGGCUCAUGACUUAAGCAGAUACAAAUCUAUGCCUUUUUGAAAGCAGUAAAAUAUGAAAAGAGAGUUUUGAGAUAUAAAAGGUGGAUCACGGGGCCUCCGUCGGAUCAUCACCAAUUUUAAAAUUAUUAGUAAUUGCCCUUUCAUCUACCACGACGGGCGAUGGGUUAUGAGUGGAGUAGAGGUCCAAUUUUGCAAGGCCUCCCCUGCUGCCAUCUUCUUCAACCCACUGGAUUUUGGGAAAUCUUCUGAUACAACAUUGCAUCCCUCGAACAAAUCUCCUAUCCCAUCCCAAAGACCAUCAUCAUCUGACACCUCUCGUACAGGAAAUAACUAGAACAGGAGUGACAAGGGCCCAAAUAAACUUUUCUCUGACUCAUCCUCAACCCUAUCCUUCCUGGUAGGUUGAUAUCCUAACCCAUACUUAGAGCUUCUCUCUGGGAUCGCAAUAGGCUCGACAAUUCCUUGUAAAUUCUUGCCCAAACCUCGACCAGAUUUGAACCCAUUUCUUAACAUCACCAUUGCAAUCAUUUUGUAGACAGAAGGCAUUGGUACUUUGAGUGUCAAAUCCCUGUCCACAGCUUUGACAAUUUCUACUGUAUAGAAACUGUAACCUUUUGGAACAUCUUUAAUCACUGGCACAUAACCAUUGGGACGAUCCACUCAACUUCCUUCUCCUUGGAUGACUACUUCAUGAUCCUCCCAAAUGAAGUUCAAUAAUUGAUAAAGGGGUGAUGAAACUACCUUUACGUCGUGUAUCCAUGGUCUUCCCAAAAGCAGGUUAUAGCUAGGAUGGAUAUUCAUAACAUGAAACUUAGUCUUAAACUCAACAGGCCCCAUUUGGAUGUGUAAAUCAAUCUCUCCUAUGGUAUCUCUCUGCCCUCCAUCGAAUGCUCUCACAUUUAGGUGGCUUUGAUAAAUUUUUCCCAAAUCAUAGCCCAUUUGAACCAACAUGGAGAGGGGAUAAAUAUUCACACCAGAUCCUUCGUCUAUUAAUACCUGAUUAAUUGCAUAAUCUCGACAAAUGAUGGUGACAUGCAUGGCUUUGUUGUGUAUCGCCCCUUCAAACGGCAACUCUUCAUAACUGAAUGAUAUGCGAUGAUUCCCCAUAAUAUUUCCUAUCAUCGCAGCCAGGUUCUCAACACUCAUUUCUACGGGAACAUAUGUUUCAUCCAAAACCUUCGACAAAGCUUGUCGGUGGAAUUGCGAACUCAUUAAUAGUGCCAAAAUAGAGAUUUGGGCUGGUGUCUUCUCUAAAUGUUUAACAAUUGAGUAAUCUUUUGAUUGCAUACGCCUCCAAAAUUCCUCAGUCUCUCCUUCAGUGAUUGGCCUUUUCUAUGGAUCCUUUUUGUUUGUCAAUUUCUCAAGGAUAUAGCAUCGUCCUGACUGCGUCAUCCCUUGGGCGAUAGCGGGCUAUACAAUGAAUUCCUUCCAUGAUGGACAUUGCAUCCCUCGAACAAAUCUCCUAUCCCAUCCCAAAGACCAUCAUCAUCUGACACCUCUCGUACAGGAAAUAACUAGAACAGGAGUGACAAGGGCCCAAAUAAACUUUUCUCUGACUCAUCCUCAACCCUAUCCUUCCUGGUAGGUUGAUAUCCUAACCCAUACUUAGAGCUUCUCUCUGGGAUCGCAAUAGGCUCGACAAUUCCUUGUAAAUUCUUGCCCAAACCUCGACCAGAUUUGAACCCAUUUCUUAACAUCACCAUUGCAAUCAUUUUGUAGACAGAAGGCAUUGGUACUUUGAGUGUCAAAUCCCUGUCCACAGCUUUGACAAUUUCUACUGUAUAGAAACUGUAACCUUUUGGAACAUCUUUAAUCACUGGCACAUAACCAUUGGGACGAUCCACUCAACUUCCUUCUCCUUGGAUGACUACUUCAUGAUCCUCCCAAAUGAAGUUCAAUAAUUGAUAAAGGGGUGAUGAAACUACCUUUACGUCGUGUAUCCAUGGUCUUCCCAAAAGCAGGUUAUAGCUAGGAUGGAUAUUCAUAACAUGAAACUUAGUCUUAAACUCAACAGGCCCCAUUUGGAUGUGUAAAUCAAUCUCUCCUAUGGUAUCUCUCUGCCCUCCAUCGAAUGCUCUCACAUUUAGGUGGCUUUGAUAAAUUUUUCCCAAAUCAUAGCCCAUUUGAACCAACAUGGAGAGGGGAUAAAUAUUCACACCAGAUCCUUCGUCUAUUAAUACCUGAUUAAUUGCAUAAUCUCGACAAAUGAUGGUGACAUGCAUGGCUUUGUUGUGUAUCGCCCCUUCAAACGGCAACUCUUCAUAACUGAAUGAUAUGCGAUGAUUCCCCAUAAUAUUUCCUAUCAUCGCAGCCAGGUUCUCAACACUCAUUUCUACGGGAACAUAUGUUUCAUCCAAAACCUUCGACAAAGCUUGUCGGUGGAAUUGCGAACUCAUUAAUAGUGCCAAAAUAGAGAUUUGGGCUGGUGUCUUCUCUAAAUGUUUAACAAUUGAGUAAUCUUUUGAUUGCAUACGCCUCCAAAAUUCCUCAGUCUCUCCUUCAGUGAUUGGCCUUUUCUAUGGAUCCUUUUUGUUUGUCAAUUUCUCAAGGAUAUAGCAUCGUCCUGACUGCGUCAUCCCUUGGGCGAUAGCGGGCUGUACAAUGAAUUCCUUCCAUGAUGGGGGAGGGUGUGCCUGACUUGAAGCUGUCAUCGCUAUAAAUGGGCCUUUCUCAUUGAUACUUAAAGCAGCCACAACCCUCUCUAUCUUUCCUACUUCUUUUGCCCCUUUGCGCUUUUCGUAGUUCACCUAGGUAAUGGUCUUGCCAGAUGCCCAUUCCCUCUAUUUCAAUCAUGUUAACUGUAGAUCCCCCAUGGUUAGGCAAUGGAUUACUGUUAAUAUUUAAUGUAGGUGCCCGGAGCGUAAUGACCUUCUGAUCGAUUAAAUCCUGGAUCCUAUGUUUCAGGUAGCCACAAUCCUCUAUAUUGUGCCCCGCUGCUCCUGAAUGAUAGGAAUAAUUUUAACUUACAUUAAAAAAUUGAGAGUUGGUAUUGACAUGUCUGGGCAGUAUUGGUUGCAAAUGACCAGCAUUCUUCAAUCUUUCAAACAAUUGGGUACGACUUUCAGCUAGUGGGGUGAAGUUUUAGGGAGGUUUCUUUUCGUGGUUUAGACGUUGGGGGUUGUACUGGCUUUGAUUUGUAGGAGGAGGUACUUGGUGAUAAUUUAGAGGCGCUUAGAAAUUUGUUUGGAUAUUUGGAGGAGUGGAUUGGAAAUAAAACUGAUAAUUUAGAGGUAGAGCUGGGUAUUGGGGAAAUAUAUUUGGUUGUGGAGCUUGGUAUGAGGAUUGGAUGUUUGGGAGUGGAGUUUGGUACUGAGGUUGGGCAUUUGAGAGUGGAGCUUGGUAUGGGGGGUGGGCGUAGAACACAUGCUGAAGGUUGGGUGACGACAGAGAAGAUAAAACAUUUCUAGAGUUGAACAUCUUUUUUAUUUUAGCAACAGGAUUAGCAGAAAUCACACCUACAUCUUAUCUUUUCUUCUUUGAGAAUAUGACAGUCCCAGACGAUGUCGGGAUUUUGGUAAUUUUCCCUGUUCGAAUACCUUCUUCCAAUGAUUCUCCUAUUUUUACCAAAUCUGCAAAAGUUGCCCUGACAGUGGAUACCAUCCUGGUAUAAUAUUCUUCUUCUUGAGGAUGAGAGAACACGGAUACCAUUUCCUCCUCAGACAUGGGGGGGUUGUACUUUAGUGGUUUCUUUCCUCCAACUAAAAUCAUAGUCUCAAAAGCUCUCAAUAUUCCUCUGUUUGAUCCGAUCUACUGAAUAUCAGUCCGGGACUAUUUCAAUGUUGAAUGUGAACCGGUCAAGGAAACCCUUUGCUAAUGCUUUCCAACCAGUCCACCUUUUCGGCUCCUGAGACAUGAACCACUCCAAUAAAUCAGUGCAUCAAUAACGCCUCGUUUAUCCCUAUCCCUACCAGUUGCUCAUAGUACCUUCUUAGAUGGGCCAUUGGCUUUCUGGUACCGUCAAACAUCUCAAACUUAGGGACUUUGUACCCAUCUGGUAGGUCUACUCCUGGGUGAAUACAUAAAUCGUCAUACCCCAAACCGUCGUGGUCCCUGGCUCCAUGAGACUCUUUGAUCCUCAUGAUCUCUUCAUUCAUAGCUAGUAUAUUCCUUUCAUGCUGGGUCCUCCACUCUUUCUCUUUCUCCUCGUAAUGGUCCAUCUCAGGGUUAGGAAGGGGUUCAUAAAUAUCAGGGGAUGUGAUAGCUUGAGCAGGAUUUGGAAGAGAGGCUUGAUUUUGCAGAAAAAAAGAACUUGGUUGGUAAGUGGGGAGGAUAUUUUGGAAAUUGGAAAGGUUCUGUGGACUUUGUGAGUAGUUUGGCGGAAUAUGAGAAGGAUUCUGCGGAUUUGGAAAUGAAUUUGGUGGAUUCAAAGGUAGGUUUGACGUAUUUUAUGGAUUUGGGAGUGAAUCUUGCAGAUUUAGAAAUGCGUUUUGUUGAUUUGAGAAUGUGUUUUGGGAAUUUGGAAAUGGAUUUGAAGACGGGUUCUAUGGGGUUAUAGAUGGAUUUUGUGGAUGGUAGGCGUCUAGGUUAUUUUCACGAUUAGUAGUUUGGACAAAUGGAGGAGCGGAGAUGGAUGAUACGUUAUUUGGCUGAUCCCCGAGAAUAGGUGUGCUGAGGGGAGGGAUUUGGAGUAGAGUCCCGUGUUCUCCAAGAGCGGGGGCAUUGACGGUGAUGGCCAAGUUAUCCAAAUUUCGAGUGCAAUUUAUUUCCUCCUAAAGCAUUUCUAACUUUCUUGCAAGUUUCGCAAUCAUUUCAUUCUGUUCCGCUAUCACAUUAUCCUGGAUAGUCAGUGCGCUUUCUUCGUCAUUUCCUGUCAUUUUUGAAUGAUGGUCAGAGAAUGGGAUUUUAUGCACUUUUGAUCGGGUGAAGUAGGGAUGUUCUGCCAGCUUAUAUUAACACGGAGUAAUUUCUAUUAUCUGUAAAGUAAAACAACUCAAAGGCAGAUAUGUUAGUCUCCGUAUAUGAUAAGUAAUGCAAAAUAUUGGACAGAAAAUAACCACAUAAAGUUGUUUGAGUCAUAGCCAAAUUCAUCCAUAGGACAUAGUGGAUAAACUUGCCUUUGAUCCAAACAAACUCACAUAAUCACAUAAAAUAGUUAUAUCACACAACAGUAUUAUAAUAACGCGUAUCCUAGCUGGGGUGACCCUUUUUGAGCCAAGGGUUCAGGCCUAACGAUUUUUGAAGAAAAUAUAUGCUUCCUCGAAGUCAAUCCAUUUAACCCCAACUUAUAUAGGCACGAAAAAGGGCAUAAAUGCCUACAAAAGAUAACAAAAAAAGGGAUACAAUCUUUAGGGAAAAAGGGAAAUAACAUGAAAAAAGAUAAGUUCCCACGCAGGGGAAAUAGAAAAAUUAGCUACUGGAGGCUCAUUCGUCUGCCUUUGCCUUGUUUACCUCCUGUGCUAUUUGAUACCUAUUAAUGAUAAGAUGACUCCCGCAUAAUUGUGCCUUACAGUCGUAAGUUAUUUUCCCUAUACUAUCGAGUUGGGAGGCCAUGCUAUCAUCCAAAUUGAUUAGACAUUGCCUGGCAUUAUCAGCUUCUUGCCUAGCUCUUUUCAAUUCUUCCCUCAAUAUAGGUAUGGUUAAAGCGUCCUCCAUGUGUAUCUGCCGGUAAGCGAUUUCACUUUUCUGGAACUCAUCUUGUAGCCUGUGGAGUCGAAUUUGAUGCUACGUUUCUACAUCCACAACCUGAGUGGGCACAUUUGGUCCCGAAAUCAAUGCUCCGACGAGACUCUUUUUCAACCACUCCUUAUAAGUAUCGCUGACUUCAGGGUCAUGCUCUAUACGGAAAGUCACUUUCGUUCACCUUCUUCUUCUCCAUCCAUUUACCAUGCUGUCUUUGAGCAGAGACUCACUUUCAUCAUAUUCAGUGAAAAAACUAAGCAUGGAAUCUAUUUGUGGUGCCUCCUACUUGAUCUCGAAUUGCCUAAGUACUCUGCCAGGAUUGUAAGGACGGGUCCCCCUGAGACCGGGAAGCACUAGGAAAGGCCACUUGCCCCCUCGAAUGGUUUAUUUCCCAAAAUGAAGAGAGUUAAUGAACCAUUGCACAUCGCCAUCUCUUAAUUCCCCGAAAGUCUUAAACCAAAAUUCGUGAGAUGCUUCCCUUUUGAACUUGUGUAGAAACAACCACAUGUCGUGCGAAGCCAACAUAUCCACCCUUGUUUUAUGAUCAGGUUGUACCGUUCUCGAAUUCUUUACCAAAUGCUUAAUCAUCCACCAUUGAAAUAUGAGGUUGCAACCUUGAAAGAAGCGAUUUUCGACUUGAAACCUUCCCAAGGCUCGAUAUAUGUCGGCGACAAUCAUGGGAGCUAAAUUGUGGAAUACCUUGGUAGAAUCAUAAUCUACUCCAAAGAAAAGUGCAUGAGCCACCGUAACAACCCUUGGAUGAAUUGUGUCAUUUUCCCCCUGUAGGAACACCAUGGUUCCGAGUAGACCUACCGCAAAUGCAAAGGCUCUCAUCUCAUUCCAUUUUGUUUCGGACUCAAACUUAUGUCCAAAUUUGUAGAAGGCAUUGAAUCUUCCAAACCGAUGAUACAACUCCCGAAAAGUGAUAUUUUUUCCUUCACGUUUCCCUAGCCAGGUGUCGUCGUCAGUUAAAAAUGCCUCUUUAAUUGUUUGACGGUCCCACACGGCAGGAACUAAAAUGUUCUUAUCAGGUUUUUACUAUCUCUUGAAACACAUUUCAAUACUCUCAUAGCAAAUUAACACUUCUUUGAUGGUAGGAGUCAAUUCCAUAUCCCCAAAGCGAAACACCAUAUUCUGAUCAUCCCAAAAAGUGGUAAGUACGUGGAUUAUUUCGGGCCAAGCAUCCAUUUCGAUCAAUGAAGGCAGGUGUCUGAUGUGUGUUCUAAUAAUUUUUCUGUCUUCUACGCUCAUAUAGUCCCACCAUAGUUUCAAGUAAUCGUCGGGUUUAGUAACCAUCUUGAACUUCUCGCGGGAAUGCAAUUGAGCCAUAUCUACACGAAAGCAAACAAAGAUGAGCCUUCCACCGCCCCCCAAAGGGUAAUGGAUUGAAUUAGACAAGCAUAUAUUUCUUCAACACAUAAAUAUGAUUCGUUUGUAAUUGACUCGGGGUCAAUAGACGCAGGACAGGUUUUCUAAUGGGCCCAAUACCCCUCUCGAGUAUUGGGUCGUCCUAGGCUCAUGCCUGAAAUAGGGUUUUGGUUUUGCUCUAUCCUAGGUACCUAGAGUGGGUAUGAACACUAGUUCUUAAGCGGACAACUUGAGUUUGAAAAUACAAACAGCCAUCAGAUGACUCACGUGCUAAUAAACUAUUUGUAUUUCCAACAGAUUUUUGGAACUGAUCAAUAAGGGUCGGGAUACCCACGAAACCCCAAAAUAGUUUAUAUAAUGCAGGAAUAUGCCAUGAGCGUGAUAGUUAAACUUUACAGAAUCGAACAUAUAAACACAUAAACAUUUAAUCAAAAGACGAAAUCAAAUAUUUGGUUAGAACCUAGUUUGAAAAAUCCCCAGCAGAGUCGUCAUUUCUGUUUUGCGGAGAAUUUUUUACUUUAGAAUGAGAGUCGCCACUUAAUUUUGAAAAGAAAUUAAGAAACCUUUACAGAGUUACUUCAAAUGAUCCAAAAUAGAAAAAUCAUUCAAGUUAAGAGAUUCUGAGUAAGCGGUUCUUAUUAACGUUUUAGGAAGGUGUUAGGAACCUAAAACGUCCGCUAACUUGCGGUUAUCCGGACUAUUUGAAAAUCGUCUUUGUUUAACUUCUAAAAGAUUAAUUUGUUGAAAAGUGAUUGGUUUUUAGAAAGGAUUUGUGUAAAACAAUUUUAGGCGACUUAAUAGGGAUUUUAACUAAGUCUACACAAAUGAAAUAAACAAGAAAACACAUAAAUGGGGAAAGGGAGGAGAAACUAAAUGAUUUAGGCCAUUGGGCUCAAACCAACAAAACCUGUCCUAAUCUAAUUGGGCCUUUGACCUGUUUCACCUGUCCUAAUCUAGUUUUUGAGCCUUUGUCUCGAGUCUUGCUCCACCUGCAUUAAGUACAACUUUGGCUUUGAGGCCAAAAUAAGUAAUUAAAGAAAAACAUAAAUAAAUACGACAACCAUAAAUAAUGACGACAAAUGAAUAAAUAGAAAUGAGACUNNNNNNNNNNNNNNNNNNNNNNNNNNNNNNNNNNNNNNNNNNNNNNNNNNNNNNNNNNNNNNNNNNNNNNNNNNNNNNNNNNNNNNNNNNNNNNNNNNNNNNNNNNNNNNNNNNNNNNNNNNNNNNNNNNNNNNNNUGUGAUCGGCUUUCAAAGUCUUCUAGAAAGUGGGCCUCAAUGGCCCGUUGUGUAAUGCAAGGAAAAGGAGUCUGAUUGGACUCCCGAGUGAGUUCAUGCAAAGAAGAAAAAAGUGAAGAAAUUAGUACCUAUUCAAGUGAUACAAAAGGCAAAACCUGUCUUCCUAACAUAACAUAAAUAUUAACUCAUGUGAUAAGAAAGAAAGUAGGAACUAAACCAUCGGGUUCCUACUAAGGCAACAUUAGCUGUGAUUCAACACCUAAAUUAUGGCAGAUAAGAAACAUGGCAAAAAGAAAUCGAUAAGAUGAGUAAAUGGUGCGAUGAAUAAUAAUAAAAAUAAUAACAGGAACAAAAAUUAGAUCAUAGACAGAAGGAUACCGGGAAAGAAAACUGCAACUGAAGAAAUGAGUUUGAACAAUUUUUCAAUUAAGCAAAGUUUUCCAAAAGGUAACUAAGGAACUAGAAUACAUGUUACAAAUUGGUACUUACUGUCACCAUUACUAUUAUUAUUAUUUGAAACAAAAUUAUCAAGAGAAUUUGGGAACUUGCAUGUAAACUAGAAAGUCAUUGAUAUUACAAACUAAAGAAAAUCAUCCUUUACCCACACGAAGAUCAUGUAUACCGAGUCAAAGCUGAGUGAGAAGAUAAAAUUUGCACAUAACAUAUGGGAAACAUAAUCAAUAAAUCAAAUUGAAGGUCAUGGGGUCUCCCAAUAUUGGAAAACAAAAGUAAUAUCAAUCAAGGUUUGAGUAAACUAGCAAAAAAGUAGAAGGAGGGCCACAUUGAUAUUCGACAGAGAAUGGUAAGGGUUAACAUAAACUUUCUAGGUUUGCCGUGCACAACUAAUUAUUUCAACAUUAAAAUCUCAUAGCCAAAUAGGAUUUUUACAGAAAAGUUACGCGAACACUUUAUUAGGGUGAUUUGGGUAAAAGAAACCAUUUUAUUUCUCUAUAUGAUUAAACGUGUCAAUCUGUAAUCUAUUGGUCAUUAAAAAUCCGACCUCACACCAUGCCUGGGUAUGCAAUCCAUUAAUUAACACUAUGAGCGCUAAAUCGGAGAAGUAGGCAAACUAUUUCCUAGCAUGUAAUCACUUAGAUAAACCUAGAGACAUUUACACAAGGCACGGGCAAAAGUCCAAAUGGAAAACUUUUGUCAUACUACGACAAAAUGGGAUGGCCAACUACAACAAAGCACCAUAAAUCUGAAUGGUCAAAGCACGAAACUUUAACAUAAAAUUAGCCACAACAAGAUAUCAUCAACCCAAAAAAAAUAUUAAAUUAACUCAAAGCAUGGAACUUUACCAGUUGAUUCAAAACAUCAUUAGCCCAAAACUGUUAAACAAUAUUCAAAGCAAGAAACUUUACUGCGAAACCAGCUUAUCAAGAUAGUAGCAGCCCAAAACGAAAUAAAAGCAUGAAACUUUAUUCAUGAUACUGGCAUUCAAGACACAGGCAGUAGUUAACAAUAUCAAGAUUAAAUUACAAAAUUGAUGUCGAGGCAGAGAUAACAGAAAUCACCCAUCAAACGACUCAAAACGAGCAUUAAUCCAACGUAACAAUAAUCCAACACUUGCUUCAUUCAAAGAAACCUAUAGCCAUUAAGGCCUCUACAGCAAACAACCCGGCCUUAUUCACCGAUAAACAAAUAACGACUUCUACGAAGAAAGAGGGAUGAAGAAGAAAACGAUAAAUUAAAAGGGGCGAGGGUAACUUUACCUCCUUCAUGGCAGCAAAAUAGGACGAUGAGCUAUCAGCAAAAAUGUUACCGCCGGGAGUUGAGGUUAUCUACUCAGGAAUUUUCGAUUGAUUGACCAGCUUCCCAAAAAGGAAGAACGAAAGAGGAAUUUUUCAUAGUUUUGACCCCGGGCGAGGGUAACUUUACCUCCUUCAUGGCAGCAAAAUAGGACGAUAAGCUAUCAGCAAAAAUGUUACCGCCGGGAGUUGAGGUUAUCUACUCAGGAAUUUUCGAUUGAUCGACCAGCUUCCCAAAAAGGAAGAACGAAAGAGGAAUUUUUCAUAGUUUUGACCCUGCUGUUUGAACCAACCUCUCAAAAAUUCUUUAGUUUUUUUCAGGAACCUUAGAAUUUCUAACCUUCAAUUUUUCCUCCCCAUAGAAAUUUCGAAGCCUAAAAUCUCUCAGAAAGAAAAUUCAAAACUCCCACAGUUUUUCUAAACACAAAUUCUUUCUCCAUUUUUCUUCCCGAAAACCCUAAAAUCGCUAACCCUCCCCCCUUGAUCCACCUUUUUCCUGCUUUUAGGAGAAAUAUUCCCAAAUAACCCAAAAAGAAAAGAAGAGAGAAAACUCCAAAAAAAAUCCCCCCAAAAAUAGUGACCCAAUAGGUCUUUUAUAGAUGAGAGAAUUGGGGGGCAUUUUGGGACUUGAACCGUAGGAUAUUUGGAAUUUGAAAUUCCCCAUUCCCCCUUCAGUUCGAGAUUUUAUCAAUAAAUAUAUCCAUUUUUAGAUUAUCCUCACCCGAAAUUGAAAUGGUGGACCAAUACCAUUUGAGCAAAAUAAAUUCUCUCCCCAAACCAAUAGAAAUUAGCCAAAUAUGUACUAAAUUCGUACCAUUAUCCCAAAAUUCGCGGAAUUGAAAUGUUGAGAGGCCACUUUUACCCUGUUCUAGAAGAUUCGAGCAUCCUCUUCGUACAAAUUAGCUGGGGGGCGCGUGUGACGCGUAACAAAGGAAAAAAAAUGGGUUAAUUUUGGUCACUGGGUUCGCGGGCAUGGGUCGGAUUGAUGGGUCCUUGUUGUUGUUGUCGAUCGAUAUUGUUGAGGCAUGUUGAAGGUUGGUUGUACGCAUAUUUUGUACGUUGUUGUUGUUUGUUGUUAUGUUGAAGAAAGAUUAAGAGAUGGGCCGGGUUGGUUUUGGUUGGAGUGGGCUUGGGGUUACUGAAUGUUGUUGGGCCAUGUAUUAAUUAUUGUUAAAGUUGGCUGGUGAUCGGCCCAAAAAUAGAAAAGGGCUACUGGUGGAUGGUUUGCUUUUGGGCCUGGGUAUUGGGUUUCAAUUUGGGUCAAAUGAGUAGAGGAUUUCGAGAAUUAGGAUUCUGAUUUUGGAUUACAAUUUAGGCAAUCAAAUUUAAAUUCUAGCCAAAUUGAAUACCAAUUGGUCAAUUGCAUUUACAAUUGGGGCUAAUUUGAUUUCAAUUAGAGUUGAAUUUGAUAAAUUGACUAAAUCAAAUCAAAAUUCGAUACGAAUUAACACCUUGUUUAAUCCUGAGCUUCUUAAUUUAAUAAAAUCAAACAUAUAUUUAUCCAAAUAAAUUAUUUUUGAGAUUAAAUCAAGACUCCAACCAUUUAUUUCAAGACGAACCUUGAUUAAAUCCCGAUAUUUCAUAAAAUAAAUACUUAAGUAACAACAUGAUAUAAUCUCGUAUAAUUGAACAUGAUAAUAUAUAAUUGUUACUUAAACUAACCAACUUACCCAAAUAAAUACUUUGAAAAUCCUUUAUUUAGAUAAAAUAAAUGUUGUAGUUUUAUUUGAAAAUUGAAGAAGCUCCGAAUUAAACUUAGUUAUGGAGGGCAAAAAUUAGGGGUCAACACUAAGUAGAGAAGAAGAUCUCCUUGGCUCAAGAGGUGGCUUUAAGUGAUAGGGGAUUUGAACCUAAAGACAACAUAGGAGGGAGGAGGGUCAAAAUAGCAGCUUUUUCACAUUUUUGGCCCAUUUUUCUCAUUUUUCAUCUUAUCUCUUGAGAGUUAACCCUAAAUAUUUUGGUAGCUUAAAAGUGUAGUUUAUGGGAGUUUAGGAAGCUAUAUUAACACCUAUUUCUUGAUUAUAUUAUGGAUUUAAGGUAAGAAUUCACCCUUUUGUUAGUAAUUUCUUCCUUAAUUUCUCAAAACCAGUAAAAAUCUUAGGGCAUGAUUUUAAACCCAAAUUUUAUCCUUUUCACUUGUAUAAUAUUUUUAUCUUGUAAUUACUAGUUUUUCAUCAAUUUAACCUUCAAAACAACUCUGAUUCUUGAUUUUAAUCCGAAUUUCAAGGAUUUUACCCGGUAAAGCUCAAAAAUGGUUUUUCUUUGAUUUGAACCCCGUUUUUCACUCGAUUUAACUUGGGUUUUCAGAUGUAGGUUCCUAAAAAUAUGGGGAAUAUAUUUUUGAAGUAAAUUUUCAAUUUUUACCUUCUUUUCCAGAAACCUAUUUUGGGGGUCCGUUUUGACCUCGAACCAAAAGUAGUCAAUAUGGGUGUCGUUGGUUUUGUUUUGACGCGUAGAUUUCAUAUUUGAUGUUUUUAGUAGAGUUCAGGAUUGUUCAUAAAAAUUAAGAUCGCGGGUUCAAGUAUAGCAGAUUGGUUUCGGCUUUCGAGGUAGGUUAUGGCUUAACUCUUCAGACUGGACUGGAUAGUAAAUGAUGAUACAAAAUGCAUAUUAAGGGUGGAAACUAAUCAUGAAAAAUUGCUAUCAACGUGUUGUGCCCAUGUGGGGGCCUAUAUGUGAUGUAAUUGUCGAAAUUGAAAUAUUAUGUGAUAUGUUUGAUCAUGUGGGGUCUUAUGUGACAUUAAUAGCCUUGAAUACAUGUGAGUAAUUGUAUUGUAUUAUUUAAUAUGGUACCAUGGGUGUAUUGUGAUUAUAUUCAUACUUUACUGGCAUAUGAGAUAUGUGGAAAUUCAUGGAUAAAAUAAAAAUAACGAGUGAAUAUUGGCUCAUGUGGUUGUGGAAAUGUAUCAUUGUGGUUGGUUGUGAUCAUUACAUCUUCAUAUCAUACUCUUUCAUGAAACAUUGGUACCACCGUGACAACGUCUAAGAAACACUGGCAACACCUUUUUAAAAAUAUUGUAACACCUUAUAAAACCCUUUCUGAGGGAUGUACUGGAAAGGAGAUAUGAAAUAUAUGGAUUGUAUAUGGGUUGACGAACCCCCCAUGGGUCCUACAUCGGGAAGAUUUGGCUCCAUAGGUGUAUACGAAGAUUAUGCGAUGAUCCCGGAGGUUGUGCAACAACCUCGUGCAUCAUCAUCAUCAUCAUCAUCAUCAUCAUAUAUAUAUANNNNNNNNNNNNNNNNNNNNNNNNNNNNNNNNNNNNNNNNNNNNNNNNNNNNNNNNNNNNNNNNNNNNNNNNNNNNNNNNNNNNNNNNNNNNNNNNNNNNNNNNNNNNNNNNNNNNNNNNNNNNNNNNNNNNNNNNNNNNNNNNNNNNNNNNNNNNNNNNNNNUUAGUGCAAGCGGUGUGGGCUACCAUUGUGGGACAUUUUCUGAUUGCAGGUGACGUGCCCUUAGUGUAUAUUUUGUAUGCCUUAUUUACUACUUUGCUUAGUCGGCCUAUGAUACCUACUGAGUAGAAGUGGACCGUACUCAUGCCUACUGCACCCUUUCAGUGAAGGUCCUAGCUCGAGUGCGCCUCAGCUUACUUGAUUCGGGUGGUUGUUAGAGCUUCCAAGGUAGUGAUUGGACAUUCAUGUGUCUGAAGUUCACCUCUAUCUUUCUAUACUAUUUAUGUCCUUAUUAGUUCUCGGAGACAGUUAUUAUUUCUUUGUGGUUUUUUUUUCGAUGUAUUUGACUCUUGGAUUGUAUUAGUAGUUCUUACACUACUGACACAUGGUUUUGGGCUUGAUUGGUGUUUUGGAUAAGUUCUUUCCGUAUUGUUAUGAGUAUUUAUAUGGUUCGGCUUCAUUCUAGAAGCCUUACCUUGGGUAUUUCUGUCUUUUUCUCUAUUCGUAUCAGUUUGGGUGAUAGGCUUACUUGUCAAGGUACGCCACGACAAGUGUCAUCAUGACCCUCGUUUUUGGAUUGUGACAAUAUUCAACAUUGGAACUUCUAAACUCAGGUAGGUUAGCAGAUAGUGAGACCAAAGACAAAAAUACUAACCUUAUUGCAUAAGUACCAGUUUAAGGGAAAGUGUCAUUUUAAUAUUGCCUCUUGGCUAAUGCUGCCAAUUAUGUAAAUUAAAGGAGUAAGUUUUUCCUGCCAUAAUCAAACUCUGCUAGUAGUAUGCAGGUGCAAGUUAUGCAUGCCUCAAUGCUUUACUAGAAUGGUAACAAUUAAAAAAGAUUCAUUAUAUUCUUCACACUUGAAAUUGAAUGAAUUUUUUUUUCAAAUAUUCCUUUUUCCUAUUAGAACAGUUAAAAUAUAAAAUGUUUUAAACAUUGGCUGAAUUUUAGAGGCUGUUUGUCCAUAGAAAUUAUUCACAUUUUUUCGGAAUUUUUUUUCAUUUUAUAGGAUUCAUGGUGUUUGACCAUAGAUAUUCCAAAAACAACUCCAAAAUUGUUUUCUGAAAAGUGAAAACAGCUUUUUGUUGUUUUCACUUUUUUCCAAUUCUAAUUCCAACUUUUAUUCUUAUUACAUAAAACCCCAAUUUUUUUAAUAUUACACAAAAAGUCCUUAUUAACUGCACAACCAUAAACAAUUGCCAACUACCCUCUCGUGAUGUUUUUUUCAGAAUUCAUGAAUAAUUGCUUCAACGUUUUACUUGUGGGGAUCAUUAACUGAAGUAUAUGGUUUGAAAACCAACUCAUCAUUCGUUUAUUGUCCUCUUAUUAUACUUUUUUUUGGUUUGCCUGUUAUUUUAAGCGCGUAUGAUUACUUCAAUGUCAAAUACUAUUAUUUUUAUAUCUCUUACACUUACUAUAUAAUCGUCUUUGCAGGGUGAUAAUCGUUUAUUCAUCCAUAUAACAUUAUGAAUUAAUACACCUACAGAACUUGUGAAUACUGAAGCGAACGUACAUUAAUGUAAUGUCAUGAUGCGUUAGGCAAUUCUGGAGCAAUGAGUUGAGCUUUUUGAGGACCUCCUUGUGCAUGUUGAUGGAUCACGACAACAGGUAUCGAGAAAUAGUUGACCAAUAUGUUUUUAUCGCGUACCUGUACAUACAUUUGCAAUAUAGUUUCGACCGUGUUUUCUUUGGAUUGUAUAGUGUUGGAUUUGCAGAAGUUAGAUCCUAAGAUGAGUUUGUUUCAUGUAUUAUUCACAUUAAUCUCUUCAUGUUUGUUUUUAGUCGUGGUUAACACUUUGAUAAACAUGACACUAGCUUGGGAAGAUGAGAAACAGAAGUUGUUUAGUAAGAUUUUUAAGCCAAAAGACAGAUAUAUUUUCAUUAUUUGUAGUUAUGUUUUCAUUUUUAAGGUCAGGACCCCUUUCAUCAUUGAUGUGAAAUUCUGUCUAUUCACGAGUAUAAUCAGUAGAUAAAUUAGUUGGACAAUUUUGAUAGUUUUAAAAAGUUUGGGGCAUAAAAUUAAAUUUAAAAAAGACUUUUCAAAAGUCUAAAAACAUCUGUAAAAAAUACAUAGCCAGCUCCAACUCCAACUCCAACUUCAACUUCAACUUUAAUUUUUUUUAGUUUUUAUGGCCAAACGCCUUCUUAAUUAGCGAUCUAAAAAGUGGUUAUGUGUCACUCUCCCUGAUCUGCCCCCAAAUAUAUCACUUAAGUUCAAUUUCACUAUUGGGUCACGUUUGAUUAGUGAGAUAAGGAUAAUAAUCUUAGGAUAUUUCAUAAAAAAAAAUAUUUUGUAUUUAAUGAGUAUUGUUUAGUCUAAAGAUCAUUUUAUCCCAUUAUCUAUAUAUAUAAUAAAGCAAAGAAGUUUGCAUAAAAUUAUGCCAAGUGGAUAUUGAGAACUAACCACUUGGUAUUUUGGCGACAAAAAUCUAUUUUCUUGGCAACAAAAUUUAUUUUAUAUAUAGAUUUUUAAAUUUUCAUAUCUAUUUUCAUAUCUAUAUAUAUAAUAAAGCAAAGAAGUGUGCAUAAAAUUAUGCCAAGUGGCAUAUUGAGAACUAGCCACUUGGUAUUUUGGCGACAAAAAUCUAUUUUCUUGGCAACAAAAUUUAUUUUACUGAUUAAUUAUUUAUUUUAUAUAUAGAUUUUUAAAUUUUCAUAUCUAUUUUCAUAUGGUGGUAAAAAAUAUUGAAUGAACACUAUUAUUUAUUUUUAUUCUAUUAUUUCAUAUUUUCAUAUUGUAAUAAAAAUAAUUAUAACUGACUCCUAUGAAUGAACACUAUUAUAAUUAUUUAUAUAUUUCAACUCUAUAUAUAUAAUAAAGCAAAAUGUUUGAUGAAUACUUUUGUUUAUUUUUAUCUAUUAUUUCAUAUUGUGAUAAAAAAUAAUUAGAAUUGACUCUUAUUAAUGAACACUAUUAUAAUUAUUUAUAUAUUUCACAUUGUGGUAAAAAAUAAUUGACUUCUAUUUAAUUAGUAUAUAGAUUAUUUCAUAGAUAUAUAAAUUUUAAAAUAUUCGACAUAAAAAUUCCGUUAAUUACUCCUGAUUCCACUAUCAUUAGGAGUAAUUGCACAAUUUGUAUUUUAAAUAUAUAUUCUAAUCAAGCUAUAAGAGUAAUUCCACAAUCUGUAUUACAAUAUAUUUCAAUCAAUCAAGUGAUUUAAGAAGAUCAUCCGUCAAUUACUCCUAAUUUCACUAUCAUUAGAAGUAAUUCCACAAUUUGUAUUCCAAAUAUAUAUUCCGAUCGAGCUAUAGGAUUAAUUCCACAAUCUGUAUUCCAAUUUCCAAAUAUAUAUUGUAGACACGUGAUUUUUGACCCUCCCCGAGUGUAAUAUAUAUAUUUUUUAAUAUUUAAUAUUUAUAUUUGAUCCGAUAUUAUUUUAAUUUUGUUUGAAAAUAAAUAAAUAAAUAAAUAUUUUGGGAUAUUUUUAUUUUUAUUUUAAAAUAAUAUGAAAAAAUUUCAAAAGAUAUAUUUCUCUUUUAAUUUUAAUAUAUAAGUUAGUAGUUUUAGUACUCUCUUAAUUAUAUUAUUUUAGGCUAUUUAUAAAUUUUAAUUAUAUUUUUUUAAAUAUAAAAAUUAAUUAAUUAUUAUUAUAUUAUUUUUAUUGUUAUUAUUAUUAUUAUUAUUUUAUUUAUCUAUUUAUUAUUUUUAUUUUUUAUUAUUAUUAUCUUUUAAAAAAAAAGUUAAAUUUUGAAAAUCCUAUCCUAUCCUAAACCACCACAACCGGCAACCACCCCCACCUUUUCCUCCAACACCCUCAACUUCCCUCUUAAUACAUUAUAUAACACACAAGACACUAAGAGAAGAUGACGAUACACAAAAACACACGGACAUAAACCAAAAAGAAAAAGGAAACAGAAACAACAAAAAUGAAAACAAAAGGAAAAGAAGAGAAAAAGUGAGAAAAUUAAGAGAAAAAGGCAAAAGAGGAAAAAAUGGAAAGGAGUUUGAAUAUUCUUGGGUUGAAAGAUUGAAUUUAGAUUUCUGUUUAAAUUUUUGGUUCUACGUAAAAGCUUUCUCGUUUGGUUUAAUUCGUCAUACAAAUUCUUAUUCAAUCCUUGUACCAUUUUUUUGGAAUUAAAGCAUGAAUGAAGUUGUUCCAACGACUUGUCAUAUUAUUUAGUGUGUGUAGUUUGUUAUUUUUAUAUAGUUCGCACUUUACGUCUAUAUUUAUGAUUUAUUUAUUGACUUGAAAUUAUGUUGGUUAGUUUUCUUUUUUCUUCUUUGAAUUUUGAAUGACAUAUUUUUUUUAAAAGUUAAUAAUGUUGAAAGAUUGUAAAGUCACAUUUAGUUUAUGUAUAAUUAGAAAGUAUUUAUGAUAAAUCUUAUUAUGUGACAUAUGCAUGCAAAAAAAAAAAAAAUGUACACACCUGCACACAUUUUUUUACUACACACUAAAUGUUCCUAUAAAAAAUAUUGUUUUGACUUCAAGAAUGGCUAUUUUUAAGACAUUAUUCAUAUAACAAUGUGAAUAUAAAUAAGCCACUUUGUUAACAGAAGAAUUUUUAUAUAUAGUCCGGUAGUUUAUUUGAACCUUCCAUUGUACACUAAACAUAGAUUGUUUAAAUUGUCCAUUUACAUAUUAGAAAAAAUAUAUAUAUACAGAAAAUCAUCUACUACUCAUGUGAUUUUUGUAGUAAACAUUUAAAGGUUUUUGUUAGUUGUAUAUAUUUAACCUAUAUGUACGCAAACAGAUGAAAUGAUUAAAAAAAAAGGAAAGAAAAAGUAGAGAAAAUGAUGAAAGAAAAAUGGUUUAUUCAUUCUCUUCUUUUUUUUUUUGUAGUGUUUUAAGUUGUCAAGAUUUUUUUUAUUUUCUUUAAAAAAAAAAAAGUUUUUGUAGUUGGCUUUAAAAAUUGAAUCUUGAGGUUUAAGUUAUUAAUUUAAAUAACCAUUAUUGUUUCAAAUAAGUUAGGUCAAGUAUAGUAAUUUAAUUUUGUUGUUUCGUCUAUGUUUGGUCUGUUGUUCUAAUUGUAGUAUUUGAACGUUUGGUUUCAAUUGAUUGGAUGUAUUUACAUUUAUCAUCUUCUAAGAUUUUAGUUGUGAUCGGAAAUGAGUUGGCUCUCGGUUUGGUCAGUAGUUGGCCAUAGCAAAUAGAAUGAAUCAUGAUUUUAAAUUUUAAUUCAAGACCCAUAAUAUUUGACAAUAGAUCCGUUUUCGUAAGGAAGGGAGAUGAAUUGAGGAUAUAUUCUAAAACUCGUUGUGAAAUAAAGAGUGAAAAGAAUAAAAUGAAUAAGAUAAAAUGAUCUCAAAUUUUCAAGAAAUGAAGCAACUGUUUUUUUAAUGCUAGAUAAGCUUUCACAUUUAAUAAAUUUUGUCUCGAUUAAGAAUGCGGCGUACGCAUCUUUUUGAGACGUUUAAAAAUAAUUUGAGGAUGAAAUAUUGCACCUCGGCAAAGAUAGUCUUAAAAUUAAUUUUCACUAGUUUAAUACAAGAGUUAUAGACAAAUCUUAGAUAUUAAAAAUGAGCGAACCUAGGCCCUAACAUAAUUAUCAAAAUAGUUUAAGUCAAGAUAAGUCAAUAAAAACGAUCGUGCUAGAACCACGGGACUCGAGGGGUGCCUCACACCUCCCCCUCGGUCAACAGAAUUCCUUACUCGAUCUUAUGUUUUCGUAGACCAUAAUAAAGAGUCAUUUUCUUUUGACUAGGGAUUCGAAAAGGUGACUUGGAACACCAAAACUCAAUUCCAAGUGGCGACUCUGUAAAUAAAAUAAUCCUUAUUCAAAACUGUCGCUUUAAUUGAAAAAAUCGUUUGACCUCGGCCCUCGAGCGGAAAAAGGGGUGUGACAUAUAUUGCAAUCAAAUGAUACUCCUAAUUCCACAAUUUGUAUUCCAAUUUUCAAAUAUAUAUUUCAAUCAAUCAAGUGAUUUAAGAAGAUCAUACAAAUGGUAAAUGAAUAUGGUAAGUGAAUUGUCGAUUUUCCUACUCCCAUGGAUGAAAAGUAGAUGGCUAUGGUAAGUGAAUCGUAUAUAUAUUAAAUCAAACAUUUAUACUGCCAAUCAUUACCAUAUAUGACUAUGGUAAGUGCUACUAAAUUGUAAUACAACUAAUCAUGAGGCAAUAAUUGUAUAUGGAAAAGUAAUAUAUUUUCAUCAUAUAUUCUGAUCAUAAUUGAUUCUAACUAAUUUUGUAAAAAAAUCAUAUAAUUAUAAAAGAAAAUGCAUAUUUAAUAUAAUUAUUAUUAGUUAAGACAAGUUUCAUCUUGAGAACUAACUAUUUGAAUUCUUAUAACAAAAAGCUAUCAUUUCAUAACAAAAAUUUAUUUUGUUUAUUAUUUAACUAUUAAAUAUUAUUUCAUAUUGUGGUAAAAAAUAAUUAAGAUUUAUUUCUAUUAGAGGAAAACUAUUAUGAUUUAUUAUUGUUUCAUUUAAUGUUAUUUCAUAUUAUGGUAAAAAUCGAUGAGAAAAGACAUCUUUUCACCCCUGAACUUGUUCGCAUAACUUACUUUAGCACUUAAACUUAACUUCCGUUUAUUUACCCCCUUAAUAUCUUUAAAGUGUAUUAAUUUCACCCUUCAAAACUGAAUACCACUCUCACAAUGAAGAGUGUGUUACACUCGCCUACACAUCAAUGCCACGUUAUUGCCACGUAAGAAAUUCAAUUUAAAAAAAAAUUAAUCCCCCACACAUUAUUUAUAUAUAUAUAUAUAUAUAUAUAUAUACUCCACCUCCAUUUUCUUUCUUCUUCACACCCCCCCUCACCCAGCGCCCUACCCUGCAACGCAACCGCCCCUACCCUGCAAACGUAGCCCCCCCUCUUUUUAUCUUCUUCAAAUCACCUCACCUCUCCCAUCUCCUCCAUUUUCUAUCUUCGUCAAACUUAAAACAUAUUACCAAUAGCCAUUGUUGUUGUCCACAAAGCAAAAGGAAAGUACCAAUUACUCCUUCAUUAAACCACCAAUUCAAGAAACAACAAUGCAAUAGCAUCACUACGUCCCAAUUCAAAAUUCUUCAUUCCAACAUAUUCCGACAAAACUCACCAGAAAAUAAUUAAAACAAACCCACAAAAGAAUAUACAUGCAAAAUUAACACCACCACCACCAUUGACGGACCCCAAAAUUACAAUAUUAAUCCCACCAACGACCACCAUUGACGGACACACACCAUCUCCUCAAUUUUUAUUUAUAAUACCAUUAACGAACAAUUGUUAAUUAUGGACCCAACCCCCUCCCCCCUUACCAUUUUCAUUUUGGUCCUUCCUUCUCUCUCUUUCACCAUUUGUACGUGCUUAGUACUUUUGGCCUAACAAAUUCCCCCCAUUUUUGUUCCCUUUUUGCUUUCUUUCACCCAAAAAAUCAGACAAACACUAAUAAGAAAAAAUUGUUGUAAUUCAAAGACAGUGAUGAAGUAAAAACUACAACAUUUUAGCAUUGACAGUGGGUUAUUAAUCUGGGUAUUCAUUAGUUUUCUGUUUACUACUACUAUCACAUUUUGGUGUUUUGUGUGUUCUAUUGUUGUUUUACUUUUAGUUAUGUUGAUGCAUUUUUUGUUUCAUGCAUCUGUUGUUGUAACAUUUCCUUUUUAAUUUUUUAAUAAAUGUUCCUGUAGCUCCUUUUGGUGGUGAUGGAAAAAGUUGUAGGGAAGAAGAAAAAGAAAUGGGGGUGGUGGGGUGUGAGGAAGAAAGACAAAAAAUAAUGGUUAAAAAUAUUAAAGUGGACCCUACUAAAAAAAUUUUAUAUUAUUUUUCGCUAAAACGCGCCUUUGUUUUUUUUUGGCCACGUCAGCCCUUAAGGGAGCAAAAUAAUACAUUUUGAAGUUGUUAAGGGGGUAAAUAAUUGUCCGAUUAGUUUAGACUCUAAAGUAAGUUUUGGCGACAAGUUNNNNNNNNNNNNNNNNNNNNNNNNNNNNNNNNNNNNNNNNNNNNNNNNNNNNNNNNNNNNNNNNNNNNNNNNNNNNNNNNNNNNNNNNNNNNNNNNNNNNNNNNNNNNNNNNNNNNNNNNNNNNNNNNNNNNNNNNNNNNNNNNNNNNNNNNNNNNNNNNNNNNNNNNNNNNNNNNNNNNNNNNNNNNNNNNNNNNNNNNNNNNNNNNNNNNNNNNNNNNNNNNNNNNNNNNNNNNNNNNNNNNNNNNNNNNNNNNNNNNNNNNNNNNNNNNNNNNNNNNNNNNNNNNNNNNNNNNNNNNNNNNNNNNNNNNNNNNNNNNNNNNNNNNNNNNNNNNNNNNNNNNNNNNNNNNNNNNNNNNNNNNNNNNNNNNNNNNNNNNNNNNNNNNNNNNNNNNNNNNNNNNNNNNNNNNNNNNNNNNNNNNNNNNNNNNNNNNNNNNNNNNNNNNNNNNNNNNNNNNNNNNNNNNNNNNNNNNNNNNNNNNNNNNNNNNNNNNNNNNNNNNNNNNNNNNNNNNNNNNNNNNNNNNNNNNNNNNNNNNNNNNNNNNNNNNNNNNNNNNNNNNNNNNNNNNNNNNNNNNNNNNNNNNNNNNNNNNNNNNNNNNNNNNNNNNNNNNNNNNNNNNNNNNNNNNNNNNNNNNNNNNNNNNNNNNNNNNNNNNNNNNNNNNNNNNNNNNNNNNNNNNNNNNNNNNNNNNNNNNNNNNNNNNNNNNNNNNNNNNNNNNNNNNNNNNNNNNNNNNNNNNNNNNNNNNNNNNNNNNNNNNNNNNNNNNNNNNNNNNNNNNNNNNNNNNNNNNNNNNNNNNNNNNNNNNNNNNNNNNNNNNNNNNNNNNNNNNNNNNNNNNNNNNNNNNNNNNNNNNNNNNNNNNNNNNNNNNNNNNNNNNNNNNNNNNNNNNNNNNNNNNNNNNNNNNNNNNNNNNNNNNNNNNNNNNNNNNNNNNNNNNNNNNNNNNNNNNNNNNNNNNNNNNNNNNNNNNNNNNNNNNNNNNNNNNNNNNNNNNNNNNNNNNNNNNNNNNNNNNNNNNNNNNNNNNNNNNNNNNNNNNNNNNNNNNNNNNNNNNNNNNNNNNNNNNNNNNNNNNNNNNNNNNNNNNNNNNNNNNNNNNNUUAUCACAUUAACUAUAUGAAAGUUAUUAAUUGAUUAGCAGUCAAGCAACAUAUAUGGUAAAAUAAUAUUAUAAUUAAGAGUCAUUUCUAUAUAAAAAUCUCUAUGUAAAAUACUAUAUAUAUGUGAAUUCUAACUCCACAAUAUCAAUCUAUGAGAUUAUUUGAAGAAGAAAGCAUAGAAACAAGAACUCGCUCGACUAAGGAGGAGAUUUUAUUCAACUCUUAGUGUAUUUUCAUAGAGGAAAGAAAAGACCAUUGUUGUGUACACAUACGGUUCGAGAGAGAAUUAGUUUUGAAUUUUUCAAUCAUUUUUUCUGAAUACUAUUCUAUCACAUACUCACUAUCAUAUUCUAUAAUGAUUUAAUUAUUGUAAUAUAGUUUCUUCUACAAUUUGUAAAAAAAAAAGUUGAUACUAAUUGCUUGAGGACAUGUCUUUUGUUUUUUAAUUUAUUUUUGAGUAGUUGAUGAUUUCUAGAUUAUGAACCCAACUGAUUUUAUUUUCUUAUUUAGUCUUGCUAAAUUUUUUUAUCUUCCAAUUAAUAGUUGUAUUCUCUUUCAUGUAUUGUUCAUUACUUCAAUUUUGUUUACAUUUUUGAAAUCUUUAUUAUUGGUAUGAUUAUUCAUUAAAUUUAACUGAUACUACUUUUAUUUUUCUAUAUAAUUUUUGGAAGAAAUUAAGAUACAAAAACCUAACAGAAUUGCAAAUAAUUGAGUGUCAUUUUGAGAAAAGGUGAAUUUCCCUAUUUGAUUUCAAAUGAGGUUGUGAAUACGUGUGUAUGGGUGUGUGUAUAUAUAUUGGUGAAAUAUUUAUAUACACAUCUAUAUACAUAAUAAAGUUGUAUAGUCUAGCCAAAUUUAAGCUAAGUGACAUCUUGAGAACUAUCCUCUUGAAUUCUUACAACAAAAAACUAUCAUUUUGUAACAAAAAGCUAUUUUAUUGAAUAUUUAAAUAUUUAAUAUUAUUUUUUAUUUCAUAUUUUUAUAAAAAAUAACUAAUAUUUAUUUCUAUUGGGUGGAAGCUAUUAUGAUUUCAUACUAUUUCAUUUAAUAUUAUUUCAUAUUGUGGUUAAAAAAAAUAAAUUUCAUUUAUGUCGGAUGAAAACCAUUACUAUUGUUCAAUUAUUUUAUAUUAAGAUUAGUAGUUAAUUAUGUCAUAUUAUUCUAUGUUUUUAUUUAUUAUUUAUUUAUUUAAUAUUAUCUCACAUUUGAUAUUGAGGUAAAAAUAGAUGAUUGUUCAAUUAUUUUAUAUUAAGAUUAGUAGUUAAUUAAUUUAUGUUUUGUCGAUUAUUCAUUUAUUUAUUUCAUAGCCUUCAUAUGUUUAAAAAAAAAUAUGUAAUAUUAGUUUUGCAAUUACUUGACAUAUAUGAAAAGACAUAUUGAGUAACUCAAUAUGACAGGAUAAUCAAUUACAAUCAAGAAACAUAAUUGGAAAAGAAAUAUUUUAAUUGAGAUGAGAAACUUUUAGUAUUAAUGGAAGGAUGUUAAAUUUUGAAUUCAAAUAAAACAAAAAUACGAAUUUAAUUAAAAGAUAGUUAAAAUUAGAUAUUACUACUAUAUUGAGACUGAUCCAACUAAUUAAACAAUCUUUGUAUGAAUUUCACUAAUUACAUUUUUGUAUAAUAGAAAAUAGUUAAUUGCCAAUCUUGAAACAAAUAUUAUCAAAUGGGGAAUAUGAUAAUAUAGAUGUCACCAAUAUGGGUUGUGGUGCAGUGGAUGGGGCUGCUCUACUCUUAAUCAGAGGUCGAGAGUUUUGACCCUGGAUAUGGAGAAAACUUUGUUGGGAGCGCUGCCACCUUAAUGGGACUGCAACACGCGAUCCGAAUUAGUUAGCCCUCCAAUGAGGGAACCAGACACUGGAUAAAAAACCAAAAAAAAAAAAAUAUAAAUGUCAUCCCUCAAAAUAUGCAAACAAUAUAAAUAAUGAUUUUAUAUUAAAAAAAUUGUGAUUUCAUUACAAUUGAGUAAAUCAAGAAAGUAUUACAAGAAAAAAUUGUGAAUUAAUAAUCAAUUAGCAAUCAAACAACUUAUAUGGAAAAAGUUUAACUGGAAUUUUUUAAAAAAAAAAUCAACUUUAAUCGCAUAAGUUUGACCUAUUUUUGUAAAACAAUAAAUGAAUGAAUAUAAGAAAAUCCGUAAUUAGGAAAGAAAAUAACUAUUACCUUAUUUGAGUGAUUAGAAAAUUAUAAAGAUAAUUAAAUAAUCAAUUGACUAUAGUCAAAUUAUAAUUUUAUAAGAAAUUUUUGAGAAAUAAAUCAGUAAUUGAGAAAAAAAUUAAUUGUUACCUUUUUAAAAUUCUUCCACAAAUUAUAUAGGAAACUAAUAUCAAAUUAAUAUAAUCAAAUUAUAAAAAUAUGAGAAAUUUAUGAGCUUGAAUUUUCGAAAUCAUAAAGGUAACUAAUAUCAAUUGUUUCCGUUUUUGAGUCCUUUGUAUAAUUGUACAUUAAUUAAAUAUAAUAAAUGUUUUGCGGAGAAAUUUUGACUUUUUGAAGAGAGUCGCNNNNNNNNNNNNNNNNNNNNNNNNNNNNNNNNNNNNNNNNNNNNNNNNNNNNNNNNNNNNNNNNNNNNNNNNNNNNNNNNNNNNNNNNNNNNNNNNNNNNNNNNNNNNNNNNNNNNNNNNNNNNNNNNNNNNNNNNNNNNNNNNNNNNNNNNNNNNNNNNNNNNNNNNNNNNNNNNNNNNNNNNNNNNNNNNNNNNNNNNNNNNNNNNNNNNNNNNNNNNNNNNNNNNNNNNNNNNNNNNNNNNNNNNNNNNNNNNNNNNNNNNNNNNNNNNNNNNNNNNNNNNNNNNNNNNNNNNNNNNNNNNNNNNNNNNNNNNNNNNNNNNNNNNNNNNNNNNNNNNNNNNNNNNNNNNNNNNNNNNNNNNNNNNNNNNNNNNNNNNNNNNNNNNNNNNNNNNNNNNNNNNNNNNNNNNNNNNNNNNNNNNNNNNNNNNNNNNNNNNNNNNNNNNNNNNNNNNNNNNNNNNNNNNNNNNNNNNNNNNNNNNNNNNNNNNNNNNNNNNNNNNNNNNNNNNNNNNNNNNNNNNNNNNNNNNNNNNNNNNNNNNNNNNNNNNNNNNNNNNNNNNNNNNNNNNNNNNNNNNNNNNNNNNNNNNNNNNNNNNNNNNNNNNNNNNNNNNNNNNNNNNNNNNNNNNNNNNNNNNNNNNNNNNNNNNNNNNNNNNNNNNNNNNNNNNNNNNNNNNNNNNNNNNNNNNNNNNNNNNNNNNNNNNNNNNNNNNNNNNNNNNNNNNNNNNNNNNNNNNNNNNNNNNNNNNNNNNNNNNNNNNNNNNNNNNNNNNNNNNNNNNNNNNNNNNNNNNNNNNNNNNNNNNNNNNNNNNNNNNNNNNNNNNNNNNNNNNNNNNNNNNNNNNNNNNNNNNNNNNNNNNNNNNNNNNNNNNNNNNNNNNNNNNNNNNNNNNNNNNNNNNNNNNNNNNNNNNNNNNNNNNNNNNNNNNNNNNNNNNNNNNNNNNNNNNNNNNNNNNNNNNNNNNNNNNNNNNNNNNNNNNNNNNNNNNNNNNNNNNAAAGGUAUUACAAGGUCAGUUUUUUCUUUUUUAGGGGUAAAAAUAAAAAGUUGUAUUAAAUUUAUGUCUUUAAUGCUUUUUACUUAAUCUGUGUGCCAAAAUUCAACAAUUCAUUUAGCACCUAAAAUUAAAAUAAUAUCAUAAAAAUAGCACGCACAAUUAAAUACUCAUAAAAUAGCCAUUAGCCGUGUAUCAUUUUCAUUUUUGAAUCUCAAAAGUUCGGUGGAAUACCACCAUCAAACACGUAUACAAAUUUUUACACCUUUACAAAUUUUCCCUUAUUUUUUUCAACAACAUUAACACACUUUAUGUGUUCAUCAACUUUCAUUUCAAAGCUAAUUUACCUCUCAUCGAACCACCUUUUCCUGUACGCGAUUUGAGCAAUUUCUUCUUCAGAUUAGAUUCAGUAUCCUUACCUUUCACACCUGUUUUACUCUGCGAUCAAGUGUUUCUUCUAGUAGAGAUUUGGCCAAUGGAUUUAGAAUUUGAUUGCAACUUGAAAUCAGGAACAAUUUGUACAACUACUCUCUUUAAUGAUAAAUGAUUCUCAGUAAAUUCAUAAACAGAUAAAGGAUUCUCUUUCACCACUUUCUUGGUUGCUUUUCCAUUCGAUGGAUUCGAUUUUUCCAUCAUUUUCAACAAAAACCUCAAAAUCAAACAGAGGAUUUCGAAGCAGAGUAAGAAUUUUUAGGUAGAUUAUACGGUAGAAAAGUGUAACAAAAGAAGAUUUAUUGAUAUCAAAUUAUAGAGUAAAAAUAUACUUUUCGUUUCUAUUUUUAAAAAAAUUGUUAUUUGUCUUAGCUGGGCGGUUAAUAAAAAAUAGCUAUUGUAUAUGCUUGCAAAGAUUGUAUGAAUGUAUGAGCACUGUAUAUGCAUGCAUAAAUUCCCCUUCUAUCUUGUUAUAAAGUGUAUCAAUGUGGUAUAAAAGAGUAUCUAUUGAGCAUAUGAUUCUCUCUUUCUUUUUUAAAAAGUGUAUCAAUGUAAGAUAAAAGUGUAUCAAUGUGGUAUAAAGUGUAUCUAUCUAGUAUAAAAGAGUAUCAAUUGGAUAUAUGGACACUGCAUAUGCAUAAAUUCCCUUCUACCUUGUUAUAAAAGUGUAUCAAUAUGGUAUAAAAGAGUAUCAAUUGAGUAUAUGAUCCCCUCUUUCUUUUUUAAAAAAUGUAUUAAUGUAAUAUAAAAAUGUAUCAAUAUGAUAUAAAAGUAUAUCAACUGAGAAUAGAAACUGCAUAUGGUCAACUAGGCAAAUGGCUAAAAUAGGUAUCCACCUUUUCAAAUUGUGAUUAUUAUUUUUUUUAAAUUGUCAACCCAUGUCCCUUUCCCAUAAAUUUACUGCUUUUAAAGGUACAUUAACAAAUGCCUAUAGUUAAUAAUAAUGAUUAAUUAGAAACUACUCUCUCCAUUUCAUUUCAUUUGGCUUCCGCCUAGUCAUAGGGUUUUAAUUUACUUAUCUAUUUUUCUCAAAUUAAAAAAGUUCCAAUUAUUCUUCCUCAUACUAAUAAUUAAUAAUAGUAGUCAAAUUUAGAGUUUCAAAACAUCAUUAAUAAGAUUAUUUAAUAAAAUAUAUUUCUAAUUAAAUGACAUUAUAGACUUAUGUGUUUUUCGUUCUUCUGAAUUAUAUUUACUCGUCAAAAUUUUAUACAAGAGUAUUAUGUUUUUCUCUUGAAUUUUGAAUUUAUGUUUCGAUUUAUUUGUCUUAGUAUUAUAGACAUGCUAUUUUAUAUUGCAUGUCACCGCAAAUUGUCUAAUAACAUAUGAUUUCAAUUUUUCUAUGGCUUUCCAAAUAUGUCCUUAACUAUUUUUUAGUUUCACCUUAUUUUGGAAAGAUGUACAUAGUUUAAUGACAAUACUUUCCUAAAAAAAAUUAACAAAAGUUACUUUAGUAGAAUAUUUGCACAAGUUCAAUGGCAAUUUGAAAAAUUAACUCGACAAUUUGAAGUGAUAUGCAAUAUAAAAUAACAAAUCUAUAAUACUAAAACAAAUAAAUUGAAACAUAAAACAAAACACAAAUUGAAAAUUCAAGAAAAAAACACAAUACUCUUAUAUAAAAUUUCAACGAGUAAAUAAUUCAAAAGAAAGGAAAUGCUGAAAUACUACUUUAAUUCAAUAAUGAAAUACUAUUUUAAUUCAAACACUAGAAUAAAAAUGCAAUAAUCGCUAAAUGAAGAAAAAAUACGAGUAAUUAUAUUGAAUCAUAAGAAGUAAAGGUUGGAAAAUGAGAAGAAAAGAGGUGAAAGAUAAAUAAUGUAAAAUGAAAAAAAUAGAAAUAAAAAAGAAAUUAAAAUAAUAGAAAUAAAAAAUAAAAUUAAAAGAAAGAGAAAUUAAAAUUAAAAAAAAAAUGUAAUUUUGUAAUUACAUCACGUAAUUGCACCUAAUUCUCUAUUCUUAAUUGAGAAUUGGACUAUGUAAUUACAUCUAAUUUCACUUUUCUUGUGGUUCUCCAAACAUAUCCUUAACAAUUUCUUAGUUUUAUCUUAUAAUGGAAAGAAGUGCAUAGUUCAGUGACAAUAUUGUCCUAAAAGAAACAAAAGUUACUUUAGUGGGAUGUUUACAUAAUUUCAAUCACAUUUUGAGGAAUUAACUCUAAAAAUUUCUUUUUUGUUUGUUCUAUGCACGAUUUUAAUGCUCGUUUGCACCUAAUCAGUAGUCAAUAUUUCUCUCUUCUUCCUCAUAAUAUAAAAUUGUCUCAUGACAUAGGUUUUGUGUUGUUUAUUCAUCAUAUCUGCUCAGUGAUCACACUUUCUUGUUUAUCAAUUUUAUUAAGGUAUUAUAUUGUUGACUAAAACUGAAAAAGACCUCUUACUUAUAAUUAAAUACUCUAGUACCCGACCUAAACAUACCUUCCCAAUUAUCCUCUCCUUUCAAUUACAAUUAAUUCAGGAGUGUUUGGUCACGGUCAAUCAAUGUAAACUGAUUUCUUCGUCUUGUUUUUUCUAAAUACCUCAUACUGAUAUUUUGAGAAAAUAUUAGUGUUAAUUAAUAGGAAUAUUUGACAAUUUACGAUCAUUUAUUUUUUAAUUAGAAAAAAGCUAGAGAUCGCACCUUGUAGUUGUUCGGAAAAAUCAUUACACGCUCAAACUAAAGAUUAAUAUACAAGAAUAUGUGUGUGUGUAAGAAGUUCAAAGUACGAAUUUAAUUGAAUAAUUGAUCAUCGCAGCCUCCAAAACUUGCCUAUAUAUGAAACUCAACGCAACUUGGAAGUUCAAUCUGACUCAAUCCAUCUAUGUGCACAAUACUAAUUAAUAGCUAUUCAUUCAACCAAUUAAUUACUCGACCCCUAAUAAUCAAUCCUUGGAAAUAAUAUCCUGAAAACAAAGUCUUAGAAGCCUAAUUCUAGAGCAACUGAUCAAAUAAUAUAUAAUCAAAUCAAAGGUUAUUACAACAAAAUAUAUGGAGUAUGUAAAAAGUAAAAAAAAUCAAAUACAAUUCAUCACAACGUCGACCUCCAAAACAAGCCUAUAUAUACAUAUAAAAUUCAACAUGCAUCCAGCUUCUUAGUGCAACUUGGGAGUUGAAAUUCCCUUAUUGAAUCAGUUUUCAACUCGUCCAUGUCUGAUCCGAUCCAAUUAAAAAUUCUUGGAAAUAUAUAUAUAUGCAUGUAUUACAGGCGCGAAAGCUGUGAGUUGAUGGGGAAGUAAGAAACAGGAAUUGGAGCACUUGAUGACGAUGAUUUCUUUUUGGUCUUUGCAGCUGAUGACUUUGACUUACCAUUAUUGUGGAUCACAUCAUCACAAACUCUUGAAGAUGAAGAAACUCCAACACCACCACUGAAACAGCUCAAUAAACCUGGAAAAAUUGCCAUAUAUAUCUUAUGAAUGAUUUUUUGCUUAUAAUUAAUGAGAGGAGCUAAUUAAGCUAAUUAAUUGUUGUUCCUUUUUUCCUAGUAAUGAGAGCUAAUGGAACCACCAGAAGAACUAUAUAUGGGGAAAUUGAAAUAUCUGCAGUUUAUGUGGCUUUGCUUUUCUUGUUGACCAAGUAAAUUGAAAAUGAUGAUCAUUCUGGUGCUUCCUACUGCUUUCCCAGAUUUCUUUUUUGACUUUAGGCUAUACAUGUUAUGGACUAUAAUUGACUGGGAAUCAGAAUUGUAUUUCCUGCCUUUCAAUUUAAUUUAUGUCACAUCAGUUAACUUGACAUAAAAUAAUAUAAAAAAAG
rnacentral:lncRNA from 1 species